UUUCUACAAAGUGCUUUUAAACAUUUCUAAUAUUUACUUCAAGUAAAAAUUCUUGUAGCAUCAUCAAAACUAAUUUCUUCAAUAUUUACCAAUGCUCCUCAUUGGUAACAAAAGGUUGAGUGAGGGAGAGAAAGAUGAGGAGAGAGAAAAAGAAGUGGUUAAGAGAAAAGAAAAAAAGAAAAAAAGUCCGAAAAUAAUAAAGAAGAAAAUAAGAAAAAAUAAAAAGAGAAAGUUGAGGGAGGAGAAGAGUGAGAACAAGAGGAAGAGAGGAAAAAAAGAAAGGAUCAUGUGAAAAACCCCUUCCUCAUCAAAAGAAAUAUCAUAGGAAGGAAAAGAAACUCAAAUGCUUUAUGGAGAUCUUUAAGAGAUUUGAGAUUAGAUUUCCUAUGAUUGAGACAUGGAAACAAGUGCUUGGUUUGAUCAGCUUUUUGAAAAGAUUCAGUAGGAAGAAGAAAAAGAAAAGAUUAUCAAGCAAGGAGAACAUCAACACCUACUGGUGGAUUAUAUGCUGCUUCUGAUGGCAGAUAUGACAUCUACUGAGGGAUUUUAAGAAAGAUUAGACAUUUACUGAUGGAUGUCACUAACAGCAUUUACUGAUAAUGCCACUAGGAUAGCAUCUACUGAGCGAUGACUAGAAGAUUUAGGUAUCUACUGAAGGAUACCAGGAAAGUACACCUACUGAUGGGUGAUGGUAAGGUUUUCACCUAUUGAUGGGUGCUAGAAAGGUUUGGAUCAGGUUUGUGAGGUUAAACAAGCGCUUUCUAGUGCAUGAUUUGAAUGUUGCAUAUGAGAGGGGAAGGGCAUAUAAAAUUGAAAGUUGAAAUCAAGUGCUACAAGUUUGAUCACAUAAAGGCAAUCAAAGAAGAAGAAAAAAAAUUUUAACGCUCACUACUGAGCGGUGGUACCCAACACUGGCUUUUUAAAAGCGCAACGUUUUGAGGGUUUCUGCAUUUUGAAAACUCUUCUCUGGAUUUUGCCCAAGCAGUCUGUACAAACCCUAGCACCUCUCUUUCAUUUUAAAGAGCUUUCCAAAGAGUUUUCUCCAGUUUUCCCAUCACCCAUUCACAAAAAUCUCAUCUUUCAACCAUUCCUUUGUCAAAAGUUUGGGCUUUUUGGUGAGAGCUUUGCAUUGAGAGGCAUUCAUCAUCAAUUAAGAAGAGUUUUCAAGCUUCUAGAGGAUCUCCACUCAAGUAAGUUGUGCAAUUUCAUUCUUAGGGUUUCUAAAAAUUGAAAUUUGAAGAAGAACAUGUGUAGGAACAUGAGAAAUUAGGGUUUUUGAUUUUUAUGCAUGAUUUGAUGAGGUAGAAAUGUUUUGAACCGAUUAAACUGCAUAAAUUUGGUUUGGAAUUGUGAAAUCUGUAUUAGAGUGGAGAUUAGGGCAUUUAGGAAGGGGCUUUUGAAAAACCCUUGACGCCGUCGCUGAGCGGUGGGCGUCAAAUUUUGAGUGAUUGCUUGAUUUCUUGAUGCAGGGACGCUGAGGGGUUCUGUUCAUCCCUCAAGCGUUGGACAAUGAUUAAUUAGGAGUCUAAUUGAUGAUUUACUAACAUCUAAUGAUGAAUCUUUGUGGUUUUAUGAAACUAUAUUGGAUGUAGGGAUGUCGUCAUCAUCAAGUCAGUGAAGACUAUGGCGAACAAAAGGAAAGAGCCAGAGAGGCCAAGAAGGUUUUAUUCCUAUAGGUUCCUUUCCAGGAAAGAUGAGGAGCACUAUGUGACUUUGCAGGAAAGAAGAUUGCUGAUGGAGAGGAAGGUUAUUUUCAUCCCAGACCUAGCUCCUCAGUUUGGAUUGGAGAUUGAGAGAAGGAACUAGGAGAAGCUGGCUACAUAUCCUGCGCCAGCUAAUAUAGAACUUGUGAAGGAGUUCUAUGCAAAUGCAUUGACCAUAGGAGAUGUGUUAGCAGGGAGAUAUAUGAGUUAAGUUAGGGGGCAGAUCAUCCGGUAUGACCCCUACACCAUCAAGAGCUUUUUAGGCAUUGAGUGGGCAGGUGAGCAGUGCCAGUAUGCAACAUAUACAGGGGAGUUCAGAGAUAUUGCUGAUAUUGAGAGGGUUAUGUGUGUCCCUGGAGGACAUUUUCAGAGGAACCCAAAUGAAGUGCCCAUCAACAUCAAGAGGGUAGAUCUGACUCCUCUAGCAAAGUACUGGAUGACAUUUACUCAUGCCAAUAUUCAGCCGUGCUCCCAUGUUUCUAAUAUCACCAUGCACAGGAUUAUCUUCAUCUACUGCAUGUUGAGGUAGAUGGAUGUGAACGUUGUUGAAGUUAUCGCCAACGAGAUUCAGAGUUGAGCUACUACUAUGAGUAGUAGGAUGUCGUUGGGACAUUCAUCCCUGAUUACCUUUUUGUGUCAGCAAGCUGGGGUGGACACUUAUGUUCGACCAUACGAGAGGCCUAGGAGGGCUAUAAAUGCAUCCUAUUAUCAAUAGUUCUAUGGAGGAGAUGAGGCAGCUAGAGUAGUACCUAGGAGACGUCCUAGGAGAGGAGCAGCCCAGUAGGACGAUGCACCUGCAUAGCAUGCAGAGCCGUUCCAAAUGAGGGACAUGUAUAUGUCCAUGAUGGAGGCCAGAUUGGAAUCUAUCUGUAGGGCCAGAUAGCUACUGCCGAGAUGAUAGUAGGGUUGUAUGACACACCACUGGUGCACAGGUGGUCUAUGGAUGAGUUUCAUAGUGCUAUGGCUUGGCCUCAGGAGCAGGCACAAGGUAGUGGUUCUGGAGCAGCUGGAGCACCAAGCAUGGAUGAGGAUGAUGAGGAGGAUGACUUCGAGGAUGCGGAAGCUGGAUAUCAGGAGGACUCAGAUGAUGACAUGAGUUGAGAAGGCAUCUACUGAUGGAUGCCAGUGCUUAGGACAGGGGUUUUAUCUUUCUCUUUUGUACUUUGAAUUUUUAGAUUAGGUUAAAUUCUGUUGAGUAGUAUAGGUGUCUGUGCUUGGCUUGAACACUGUUUCUGACUAUGGUUUGACUUGAUGUUAUGGCAUGAUGAGUUUACUUGAUGAUGAUUGAAUGUGGAUAAUGAUUGAGAUUGUUUUGCAUGCUAAUAUACAGGUGAAUGGUUCACUAGCUAUGUGAACAGAUGUGUGAUGAUUUAUGAUUGCGGUUAUGAUGCUAAGCAGGGUGUAUGAAUGAUGUGUGAGAAAGCAUAGUUGUGUUAGGUUUUGAGCUUCAUAGUAUUCAUUAAUAUAUGUGCUGUUCAUAUGGAAACAUGAAUGAUAUUGCCUGAGUCUUUAUAAUUGAUUAAAUUACAUGCUUAUGCCAUAUGAUCAAGGCCAUUUUUGGAAGCCCUUAUUUAGCCAAAUUUCCCCCCGAAGUGAUUGAAAUUAUGUGAUUUACCCUUUUUGAACCUUAGCCUUAAAUAGGAUGAAAACCCUUGCUUUGAAAAUAUUUACCUUGAGUUGGGUUGAGAAUAAUUGUAUGGUAUUGAAAAGGUUCAAGUUUGAGGUUGUUUGGGGGAAUUUGAAAGGCAAAAGAAAGGCAUUGAGCUAAAGUGUUGAAUAAAAGGAAAAACAUGAGAAAAGAAAAAGAAGAAAAGAAAACGCAUGAAAGAUGAGAUAAAUGAAAAAAAAAAAGAAAAAGGGAAGAAGUUGGAAAUGAGUGAGAUUGGUUAAGAAGAGAGUUUGUGCUUGAAAUUUGAAUGUUAAAAUAGCUCUCUAGACUUAAGGAUUUUUUGCGCCAGAAAAACCAAUUUUUCUUGUUAGCCUGGCCUCAUUAUAAGCCUUGAAAAAGUCCUUGUGAUGGCAUUUCUGUGUGAGAAUAUUGAUUGUAUUAUAUGAAGGGCAAUUUUGUUUUAUGUGAUAUGUGAAUAGUAGAGAGAUGGAGUACCCUCUUAAACACUCGAGUGAUUGAGUGAAACACUUGCUUGAAGAGAAUAGAUAAAUUCCAUGUUUACAUAUAUGCUUAGUUGAUUGAUCAUUCAUAAGUAAAACAUCUGUUGGAAAAUAUAUGAGCAUGUAAACUGAAUUGGAUUGAAAGCAUGUAUGCAUCUUGAUAAGAUACCACUGAAAAUCUGAAUUAAGUAAUGACUUGUUGUGAGAAGAAUGAAUUUUGAGAUUGUUGAACUAUUUUGAUGAAAAAUUGGAAAGCCAAGUUUUGUCUAUUUUGCUUGAGGACAAGCAAAGUUCUAAGUUUGGGGUUGUGAUAACGGUCCGAAAACCGUUAUUUGUAUGCUUCAAUUUGAUAUCAAAACAUACCCUUUAUGGCUUAGAGUGAGCUUAGAAUAAAGUAAAGCACUUAGUUGAGUCAUAUGAGAGUCAAAAGUUGUUUUUAGAUAUAUUAUGCUUGUUUUUGCAUUGUUUUGAAGGGUUUUGAUGAGAAUUGAAGAUGGAAGUGCAAUAGGGAGGACUUAGACUCAAGAAAAGAGGAAAAAAGGUUGAAAAACAGUUAUUUUCAUAUGUCAAUUUGGACCGAAUUACGCCCUUUACUACUUGGAAUGAGCCUAGAAUCAAGCAAAACUCAAUAAAUGAGUCUGUAGAGAGUCAAAAGUUGUUUUUAGCGAUAUUAUGCUUGUUUUGCAUUGUUUUGUAGCUAUUUUGAGAAAGUGUAGAAUGGAGUUAAAGAUACAGGUCGUAGACUCAAGAAAAUAUCAGAAAAAAUAAAGAUUUGAAGAGUCGAUACAUCGCCCGGCGGCACACUUGAACCACCGGGCGGCCCAGGGAAAGGAGUAGGCAUGGCGAUUAGCGCUGGGCGUUUCUUAGGGAAACCGCCGGGCGGUGACGAUUGCCUUUGGGCGGUUCUGAGGCUUUUACCAAACCGCCGGGCGACACACUUAAACCACCGGGCGGUGGUCCGUUGGGCCUGGGCCUGUUUUCUAAUGCACUCCUCACCUAUAAAUACCCCUAUUGCAAGUUCAGAGUCAUUCUUUUGACAGGGGAGAACGGCCAGACCUAAUUUUGCUCUCUGGAGAGGAUCUCUUGGAUGCUUAGGCUCCUUUUCAUCUUUUCUAGGGUUUGCUUUUCCAUUCUUCUUCCAUUUUUCNNNNNNNNNNNNNNNNNNNNNNNNNNNNNNNNNNNNNNNNNNNNNNNNNNNNNNNNNNNNNNNNNNNNNNNNNNNNNNNNNNNNNNNNNNNNNNNNNNNNNNNNNNNNNNNNNNNNNNNNNNNNNNNNNNNNNNNNNNNNNNNNNNNNNNNNNNNNNNNNNNNNNNNNNNUUUCACCAUGUCUAUGGUGAACUAAACCCUAUUGUUGUUGGGGGAAACAAUGUAAUCUUUUGAUACUCUCUUUUAUUGAAACUCUUGAUUAUUUAUAUGGUCUCCAUAUGUUUUGAUUGAUAAUUGUUGGGUUAUCAUCUGUGCUUAAGGCCUUUAUCGUUGAACUCAUUCAGUAACUGAUGUUUGUCUUUAUUGAUAUGGGGACGUACAAUAAUGACAUGAACUGGUGAAUAAUUCCUUGAUUUUGCAAUACCACCUAGGGAUAGGGGUAGGACAAUCAAUUGCUUUUAACUUCCGUUUAUAAGGCUGUAUUAAUUGCUAGGGACGGCUAGGGAUAGCAAGCCAAUAGUUAAUAUUAGGCUCUUUUCGUCGAGGGAUCGGGUUAAGGGUAGACUAAGAAAGUUGCAUAACAAUUAAUUAAUCAAAAUAAUAUUCAAGAGUAGUAGGUAAGAGAGAGCGGAUUAGAUGAAAUUGUAAACCCCCAACAACAUCCAUUCAUCCAUUGUUUUCUUUUGUCAAUUGAAUCAACUUUAUUUUUCAUGUAAAUAUUUUUGUUCUCAAAUCCAAUUUAUUAAUUUUUAUUUUCAAGUCUUAUUAUUUUAAUUCACGUGAACGAGAAAGCCUUUCGAGUCUCUUGGGAAAACGAUACUUGGUCUUACCAUUUAUAUUACUUGUACGAUUUGGUACACUUGCCAAUUUGUUAACACUGAGCGUCAGUCUCGUGGGCAGAUCCACUGUUUCUCGCUUAAGCGGUGCCGCUGAGCGUCCAAGCGAUUAGAGGCAAACCGCUGAGCGGUGAGAUGGACCGUUGAGCGGUCUGCGGCUUGGAGGGAAAUCGUUGAGCGGCGAAAUUAGGCUCUGAGCGGUGCAAUGUUGGGCUUGGGCUUGAAUUUUGUUACUUUUAUGCUUUAUAAAUAGCCCUAGUGCGAUUCUCAAAGGAAUCUUUUGGUAGGCAGAGACGUCCAGCGUAGUUUUACAUUCCUUGGAUGAUUAGGCUUCAAUUCAUCAAACCUAGGGUUUAGUCUUCCAUUCUUUCAUUUAAUUCCAUCUAGUUUCAUCAUGUCUAUGGUGAAAUAAAACCUCUGUUGUUUGGGAACAAUGUAAUCUUUUGAAACUUUCUUAUAUUGAAAUUCUUAUUUUAUUCAUAUGCUUCUAUUAUCAAUUGUUGGGUUUCUUAUCUAUGCUUAAUGCUUCUAUCGUUUAACUCAUUCGGUAAGAAGAUAUUUGCCUUUGUCGACACGGGAAUGUACGCGAAAGUCAUGAAUUGAUAGGAAAUUCCUUGAUUAAGCAAUAUUGCUUAGAGAUAGGGGUAGGACGAUCAAUAUUAUUUUGCUUCUGUACUUUAAUGCAUUAUUAAUUACUCAGGGAGCCUAGAGAUAGUAAACUAAUGGUUAAUAGUAGGCUCUUUUCGCCAAGGGAUUGGCUUUAGAGUAGAUCAAAAAGUUUGCAUGGCAAUUAGAUAGUAAAGCAAAUUAAAUAAGAAAAGUAGAUAUAAAAGGGCGGAUAAGAUGAAAUUGUAAACCCCAACAACUCCAUUCAUUCAUAUCUUUUCUUUGCCAAUUGAUUCAUUUGCAUUUGCAUGUUUAUUUUCAUUUUGCAUUCACACUACAAAAUUAUUUCUUUCUCAAGUCUUAUAAGAUCAAUUUAUAUGAAAGAUAAGGCCUAAGAGUCCUUUGGGAGAACGACACUCGGACUUACCAUUUAUAUAUUACUUGAUAAGGAUCUGACACACUUGUCAGGGGCUUAACAAUGCAUAUUCCAAAGGUUUGAAAACUAGAAGCCAUUUCCAAGAAUAUAGUCGAUUCAAAGAAAACAUAAGUCGACUAGUUUUUAAAAUAUCUUAUGAAAACCAGCUCUAGUUCCAAUUGUUGGAAAAAGAAUGGCUUGGUUUCAACACCAAGAUGGGGGGUUAAUUGGUGAGGUUCAAAGAUCAGAGUCUUUUUCAAAUGUUUUUCGCAAAGUAUAAACCUUUCAAAAAUUUCUUGAAUCUUAAGGAAAUAGAUAAAUCAAUGCAGCGAAAAUAAAGUUGACUACGCAGAAAGUAAAGUCGACUUAAAGUAAAGAGUUCAGGGAUAGAGAAAAUUAAACAAAGUUUUUGUACUGGUUCGGUCAAACUACCUGCAUCUAGUUCCUUCCUGUACCUGGAAGCAAAUGCACUAUAACGGUCAAGGUUUUUGUAACAAGGUUUUUUUAGAGACCACCAUGUCAAAAUAUAAAACACCUCUCUAACCCUCUAACCAAAAUAUAGGCAUACAACUCCCAAAGAACAACAGUAAGAUAUCCCCUCUCCUACAUUCUUUGUCAAUUUUGAACACUCCUUAAAGUUAUCCUAACACCCCGAUUUUUCGGAAUGUCACGGAAUUUUUUUUUUUUUUUCAAAACCUUUCUAUAAUACAUUCAAUUCAAAGGCGGAAUUAAAUCAUGACUAUAAACAUCGUUUGAAAAUCUUAGAAUCUCACUUUUACAUACAAAUAUCAAACUUGAAAACUUUUAAAAUAAAUAAUAAAUCCCCGAACUCAAAUGUCCCAACUCUCACGUUAGCUACUUCCGUCCAGUUUUAUUUGCAAUGCCAUCUACUCCCAUACAAGUAUGAUCAUCGUAGGUGGAAACCACAACCUCAACUUUCAGGGUGAGCAACCAGAAAUAUCAUAACACACAAUAAAGCAUAUUUCAUUUUAGUCACAGAGUAAUGUAAACAUAUAACAUAUUUCAUCACAACAUCAAUAUCAUAACCAAUCCAUUCAUGACCCAAUGUUGUUUCCUUUUACUGUGUCGUCAUGACCUGUUAUCACUAACAGGUACCUGUUCCUCAACAGGGCAAUUCGAGCCGUCUUCCAUCGCAACUUCCGACCUAUCUCCCCGACUUCUCAAGGACUAACAAGUAAAAACACUGGCACUACGCGCACCAGUGCACUAUACUAAGCACGAGCCGAAGUCUUUUGGGCGAGACAUCCACCUCCCCGCACAGAGGGAAGUGACACUCGAAUCACUAUCUCUUAAACGAGAGUCCAACAACAUCAUAUUCUUAACGUAGCAUAGCAUGAAAAGUUCACACAUGACCGACGCCAGUACAAGGAAAUAACAUAGUUUCAUGUCCACAUCACACAUCAAUACUCAUUCUCAACAACAUGCAUUGCUCACCAAUCAUAAAGUUUAUAACACAAUCUCAAUACCUUCCACGCUUAACCUCAAUAAUAAACAACUCAUCAAACACGAGAUUUUACUCACAUAAAAAUACAACUUCAUGCACAACACCACAACAUCUUAUAAAAAUACCAUUGCAUCAAAUAAAUCAUCACAGAAUCAUAUAAAAUUACUACAAUUAAAUAUCACCAUAGCAUGUAACAAUAUUCAACUUUUAUUAUUUAUUUUACAUACAUAAUAAUCUAUCGUAUUAAAUUAUAAAAAUUAUUCAUACCCUUUCUUAACUUAUACUACUAACAAAAAACACCAUAUGUAUUCCAACUAAAAAUUUAAUCUCAUGUGAAACUUAAUAGUUUCAAUAUAGAUAUAUAAUAAUAUAAUAUAAACUUACGGUUAUAUAUCUAUUAUAUAAUAAUUUGUAUAAAAGCUAUAUAUUAUUAUUUAAUAUACAAAUAUUAUAAAAAGGAAUGAAAUCUAAUAUAUAUAUAUAUAUAUAUAUAUAUAUAUAUAUAUAUAUAUAUAUAUAAUAUAUAAAAAGAUCAUAAAAGAAUAAUAUAUUAUUAUAUGUCAAUAUAUAUAAUUUAAUAUUAUAUACUAUCUAUAAAUCUCAUAUUUUUCUAACUACAGCACACCAUUCAUUAAAAUUUGAAUUUUUAUAUCUAACAUCGUGGGACCUACCUAUUAUACUAACUCACCCUUUUUAAAUCAAAAGAAUAAACCCAUGCAUUAAUAACCUUAUUUCAAACUAAGCCUUCACUUUUCCUACCCUCUACGAAACGGACCCCACCAAAAAACUAUACAUAAUGACUCCACCCCACUUUGUUUUCUUUCUCCUCCAACCCCUGUUUGUACAAAUUCCUUCCUGCAGACAAAUAAAACUACUAAAAUUUUCUACUAUAUAACCAUGCAACAACCCUCCACGACUGUUAUUCAAACAUAUGCGCACAUACCUCUCUUUUCUUUCCAUAAACCAGUCACUACCCGAGAACCACCCAGUAUCCUCCCACACCAAAACUUUCUUUCUUAAAUACUCCCUGAAACUCUAUUUUCUCCUCCCUUCUCACUACUGCUCUCACCCAUGCCACGAUGACUCACAAACAUACAACUUAAAGAACGAAACCAACAAACACAACAGCUGGUGUUGUCUCCCCCUUUACUACAUACAUAACCUAACCAUCAAAAAGUAUAAUCACCGCCCAAAAUCCUACAUGCAUGAUAUAAUUCUAUGCACAAACAAAGAACAAAUAUUAUAUCACAUCACAAAACCUUCUCCCAUAAUAUAAAAGCACUUAUCAAAACCCUAAACCAACCAUGUGUUAAAAUAUAACUGGUUCCUCCCCUUACCUGGUGUCGUACUAUUUUUUUGUUUCCAAAACCACCAAGAAAGCUUAAGAAUGUCACCGAUGGUUCUCCUAUUUUUGAUGCCUCGUUCUCUGCUCUAUUUUCUCUCAGAAAACGUCUUUUCUCUCCCUUAUAUUUCUAAUUUUCGUUUUUUGCAUUUAGGGUAACAAAAUGCCAACUCUUUUUCACUCUUAUCCUUUUUAUCCUCUUCUAUUCUAUCUCUAUCCUUUUAAUAUAAAUAGAAUCUAUCCGUUUAUAUCUAAAACCACUAAGAUUUCCUCUUUAUUCUAUCUUAACUACUUUUUAAAAUAUCAUCAACAACCAAAUCUUUUUAAAAUCUAAAAUAUCUAGUAAUGAUUUUCUCUAAAUAUAAUAUUUCUUUUAAUCUUUAAACCCACCAAGAUUAUAUCUCUUAUUCUCUUUUAACUAAUUUUUAAAAUAACAACUAAAUCUUCUAAAAGAUUUACAUAAUAUUAUUUUAUUAAAUAUCCAGAUUAUUUAAUUUGCAGACUUUUCCUUUCUACACCCUCUCUUAAUUAAUUUCUACACCAGUUAAAUAAAAGUAAAAGACCCUUUUGCCCCUAGGCAAAAAUAUAAAAAUAAAUAAAUAACAUAAAAAUUAUGUUCUAUAACAAAUUAUAAAGUCAAGAGCAGAAACAAAAAUCCAAAGUCUCAAAAUUACUUUAUUUUUAAAACUCCUAUUUUCCCGGAUCUUACAUUCCCUCCAACUUCAAAAAUUUUCGUUCUCGAAAAUUGUGCUACUACUCAACCAAGUACAGAUAUCCCCAUAUCAUAUAUUUUUAUACCACUAUACAUCAUAAACCACUCCCACAAAGUCUAGAACAUGACAAGAAUCACUUAGAACAAGAAUGAAUUCAUAACUCUUUGUUUCUUGAAACCUUCAGAAUUAAGAAAGAAAAAAAUCUCUGACAUCGAGUCGUGAGUGUGCACCCUCACUACUCUUAUCAAGACAUUUUCUGUUCUUAAUACUUCCAGUUAGAUACCAAAUUUUGCUAAGAGACUCAAGAACAAUCCACACAUUCAUAUACAUACGCAUGCAUUAAAGUCACACAACAAAAGCUAGACGAACUCACUCCCCAACAGUGAAAAUUGUAAUUUGAUGAAGAAUGGACAUAGACCAAGCUUGAGAAGUUGGAACAUGAUGGUAUUCAAAGAUUGAGGUUAGUGGUUAUGUUUAGAGGUAAGUUCGACUUGUGGUUGAGAUUGAAGCAUGAGUUGAAGAUGGAAAGCACAAGAGUGUGUAUGGUUAACACUAAUGCAGUAAAGGGAAACGACAGCGGUUAUUUUCGCUUAUCCGCACCGGUUCUACAACCGAGGUAUAUACAGGUGAGGCAAAAAGACUACCACUUUUUGCCUCGGUUCUGAACGAGGGCAAAAAGAUGUAUGCUUUUGCCUUGGUUGCAAAAAGAUUGAGGUAUAUACAAGUUGUAGUUUUGUUGUGCGUAUUUAAUGAAUAAAUUAAGAAAACAUCCAUCCAGAAAGUAUCAAUACUCCCUAGCCCAGAGCUUUCUAUAAUUCAACAAUAGGUAAAUAGAAAGAAUACAAAGGUAUGAUUGCCUCUACAGUUCCUUCUUAACGUUUAUCAGACCACCACCCAACAACUGUGCUACCUUUAUCGGACCACCACAGGCCACCACGCGAAGUCUUCUUAUCCAACGCGUCACAGCGACCAUGGCAUUCUCCAAAAUCACGUUGCUAUCUAUGGCAACCUAUAGUAAAUAGAAACCAAGCCAGAGAACCAGGAAGCUGCCAUCAACAAUCGUGCCACAACACCUCGCGAGCUCCAUAAAGCAUCCACCAUGACCAUCGCGAGAGCACUCUCUCUCCUUCGCACAACCUACAAUCAGAAAGGCCACCACGCGAUUAUUUUUUAAAUAAUGUAAUUAGACUAGUCUUUUGAAACUAUUAUUUUGUUUUAAAUAAAUUAUGCAUGUUGAAAGAUUAAGGUUUUUAAAAAAUAUGUUUAUGAUAAAGUUUUAAAGUUUAGUAAUUAUCGUAAACCUGUGAUAUCCUUGAAACCUUACAUUUUAUUUACCUAUUAACUAAAUAAAAAACUAGAAAUGAUUACUAUUUACCCGAUGAAGAACAUGGUCUUAGUGGUUAUUGUAGGCAAUGCUAUGAGUUCUUUUUCUAGCUGAUAUCAUAUUGUGAUUCUCAAACAUUCUCUUCUAAUAAUAUAUGAUUUUUUCUCUAGUUUUAUCUGAUCUCUGUUUCCUGAAUUUUAUUCCUGCUUUAAUUUGAUUUAAUCUCUUCCAUUAAAUAGUUUAAAACGAGUACUUUUACACUUGAACGUUUUGGUUGCCAACGUUGCAAGAAUUCCUUGCCGUUGAAGUCAGGCUGGAAAAUCAGUAAUUUGAGUAAAAUAUUUUUUUCUGGACCAGGUUUUGAUAUUUGAACUGUUCUUACAACAUGACUCCAUUUUGAACGCGUAUUUGAAAAAAAUUUCGAAAAACCUUUACAAACUCUUCAAACUAAACAAAACUAGCCAUAGUAAGAUUAUUCACAACUGAUUUUCUACAAUGCAUUUUUAAACGAGAUGCUAAAAAUGUUUGUAAUGUAAGUAUCGUAAAGUGUAAUUAUAACAUUGUCAAAGCCAUUCACAAAUGUUGCAUAUUGGAGAUGACGUUUUCCUCCUUUAUGUAUGACAAACAUUUAAUAUUUCAUAUAUAUAGGUUAUGGACUAUAGUAUUAGCUCAAGUAAAUAAGUUUUCUUUUCUCCUACCUCGGUUUCUUCCAUCUACCAAGAAAUAAAUUUGAUAUUAUUAAACCCUAGGUUUCGGAUCCAGCAUUCGUUCAUAAUAUAUAAUAUUGCUACAUAAGAGGUAUACGCUUUACUAUUAAGGCUUUCUUAAUCAUUUUCCAAACGCAUUGUGAGUUGAACGAAAUGUAACGAUUUGUUAUUUUGAAUUUCAUAUGCCCGAAAAUAAUUUGUGCAUCUUCACCACUGACAUAGGUUCAGACCUGGGUAAGAAUGGUCGAACAAUACCACAGAGAGGUCAAUGCACAUCUCUAUCAGUGUCCGCGACAACUUGUCAAUUGAGUUUGAUUGUUUGAUAUAAAAAUUUAUGUGUGGUCCCCUAACAUCAUUCAAGUGAAUAAAUAAAUAAUCUACCACUUUGAAACUAAAAUAUUCGCAUAUCUUUUUUCUUGAUUGACAUUAAAUGGUAGGGAUUAUUUCACAUUGUUGCUUCAUUGUCUGCACAUCGAGCAUGCAACGUACACACAGUACAAAGUAACUAAAGAUUAAAGACCAAAAAUAACAAAGGGGGUAAAGGAAAAAAGGGAUAGAUUUUAGAUACAGAUUAAAUAGCAUUGGAUCUCUAGAAAGAACUACCUCAUGCAAACUCAAUAAUUCAAUGUGAUUGACCGUGUAUAGUGCAUGCAUGUGCAUUUCUUCAAGAAUCUUAUCCCAAAUAUAUAAUUGAAAGUGAAAUUCCUUUGGUGCAAAAGCCAACUCUUCUAUUUGGCUUUUUGGAUCACUAUUUCACAUGCACAGCGUUUUCUUGGAAAAAAAAAGACUAUUUCUGUUUACACAUUUGCUCUGCAUGCUGAAAGCAACGAGUGGUGUGUGCAUUCUCUCUGUUAUGAAAUAAUAUUGCACGCACACUCUCUCACUCUUUCUCCUUUGUAGAAAUGAUAUGAUAACAGAGAGACGGUCAAUGAAUGUAUUCCAUAUAUAGUAAAUUUUCUGAAAUUGUGGUAAAAUUAUAUAAAUCUUUUGAAGAUCAUUGUGAGGAGUGGCUUACCAGAGCGGAUUGAAAUUAUUAAACCAAGAAGCUCUUCAGCACGAUUUUUUUGGUCAGAAAUCACAUUAUUCUUGACUUCAAAUAUGAUUUCGUUCACAUGGAUACUUUUCGUCUAAAAGUUGAAAGUAUUUCGAAUAACGAAUAUCCCAGUGAAUUCUUGUUCAUCAUAAUGAAAUAAGUACGCCUAAUUCUCCCCCUACAAGACAUGUUUCAGGUGGUCACCGAAAUUAACCAUAUAUAGAUUCUGAUACUACUCAGCUUUUUCUAUAAAGGAUCACUGAAAAAUACAAUGUCACUUUUAAACCAAAGUGUAAAAUAUAAAAAAAAAAAAAUUGAUUUAGCGACGGUUAUAAUUCUUCGAUAAUGUCAAAAAGCCGUCGGUAAAUGAUAAUUACCGACGGAUUUUCGAUGACCAAAUAUCAAUCGAUAAAUUCGUUGUCGAAAAAAUUUAGUGACAGGUAUUGGCCAUCGGUAAAUAAGCGCGACGGUAAUUAUCAAUGGGCCUAGGCCGUUAAUAAUGUCGUCAGUAACAUAAAUACCAUUUUCUACUGCAAUUGGUUUUGUGUCUUAUAUACCCAAUAUAAGGAAACCUACAAAUAAGCAAUGAUCCAAACAUCAAUUUAGCCAACUAAUUCAUCAAAUGCAAUCAUUCAAUCAUUCAACAUUCAUCAAGAUUACUUCAAAACACUAGUGCAUAAUUGGGCUUUAACGUCACUCCGUAGUCGUCGGACCAGAAAACAAUCAAUGUAAAUUACUGGCCAGUGGCAUUUUCGUAAAUAAGUUGGGCAUAUAGAUGUCGGUUCAGAGGGCGCCUGACGUCUAUAAUAUUAUAGACAUAGGCCUUACUAACUAACAUCUAUAUGUCUGACAGGUAGGUGAAAAGUCAUUUUUUUCCGCCAUAUAGACGUCUUAACUAACAUCUAUACUAACUAACAUCUAUAUGUCGGGCCCCUACUGAAAAGUCUUUGAUUUAUUAUCUUUCAUUUGAAAUGAUUAAAAUGAGUUUUCGUUGUGUUUUGGUGCAGUUUUACUAAUGUCUUUGUGUAGCGUAGUGCAUCUUCUCCCUUUGCUAGUUUCCUCGUAAGAAAAGCUUGCGUCUUUUGGAUCUCUUAUGAGAUUUCAGCCCAAAGCUGAACCUGGGUCCUUGCCUAGUUUUCAUGUCACCGUAUUCUUUUCUUUGGCAGUUGGAAUGGAACUAGGCAAAGACCCAAGUUCAGUUUUGGGUUGAAAUGCCAUAAGAGAUCAAAAAGACGCAAUUUUUUCUUACGAAGAAACUAACAAAGGAAGCAGGUGCUACUACGCUCCCAAAGACACGAGCAAAACUAAACUAAAACACAACGAAAACUCAAUAGACGCCGGUUAAUGACAUGACCGACAUCUAUAGUGCCUUUAGACGUCUGUUAAUUCCAUGGUUGAUGUCUUUAUAGACUUAAAAAGACGUCAGACCUAUAGAGUCCGAUGUCCCAUUAACUUCACCCAUAAAGACGUCGAGUCGGCAUAUGACGUUAAAAGUCCAAAAUAGCUUACGUCUAAAGCCCUUUCUGCACUAGUGAAAGGUCCAAAAUAUAAUUUUUAGUUCAAUGGUCUUCAAAAGUUCCUAAAUGAAGUCAUUAAAAAUAUAAGAACAAAGUUUGAAAAUAAAAAGCUUACUAUAAUGUUUGCCAAAGUUCCUAAACUUUUAAUAAUCACUGUAAUCAUCACAAUCAUCAUCAUGAUAUUCUUCUUGCACAGGUGUGGUAUGGGAAGGCUACUAAGGUGGGCAUGGCUGUUGGGAUGAUGAUGGCUGGGAUGAUGAUGGGGCAGACUGUCCUUCCUGAGGUAGCAAUGUCCUGACCAGAUUUUCAAGAUUGUCAAAUAUGGUUAGAAGUCCAUCAUAAGCCUCUCUACUAACGACAUUUCUUUGGUCAAAUGUGCCAGAUGUAGAUGGUUGAUGUUUCAAUAUCCCUCCUCUUAGAGCACUGGAAUUGGAGGCAAGUUGUCUUAUCCUAUAAAGUUUUGUUCUUCCCCCCGACGACCUCAACCCAACAUUGGGUCCUGAUUGUGUCAUUGUCAGCAUCUACUUUAGAGUCAGCAUCAGGAGCAAAUCCCACCUCUAAUCUCGCCUGUGAUAUUAUCGCAGAAAAAUCAUCAUGUUAGUGAAGAUAGAAAACUUUAGUAACAUGAAUUGGAAAGUGUGAAAUGAAAAAACAGAAUACAAAAUUGAAUGUUGUUAAAAAGUUUACUUACAAUGGUCUUACGAGACCUUUGAUCAAAAUAUUCGCUAGUCCCCUUAUGAAGAUGAUUUUGACACUGAUAACGAUAAAUUUUACCAUUAUCUGUGAUGCAAUUUUGAUACCAAAUCAACUCCUUUUGACUGUGAAGCUUGCUUAAACUCUUAUUUUUAGUUGAAUUUUGUGAAUAAGUUAGUUGAGGUUAUGCUUAAAGAUUUUUAUCACUAACUCCCUCAAUUUUAUAGGUUAUUGGUAUGUUUUAGAAGAGGGACAAAGUAUUAAGGAGUUGAAACCUAAGAAGAACAGUAAAAGCACCAGAAAAGAAGGUUGUAGAAGGCUCAAGGAUGCCUGGUUGCCCUCUUCUGGGGUGCUUAACGUUGGAGGCCACGCAACCACACGUUGUUGCCCUCUUUUGGGACUCUGAGCGCCAGUUAUCCGGCAACUAGUCUUGUUGCCUACUCAAGGGGCGUUGAGUGCCAAUCACUGCGCAGGUUCGCCCGGUUGCCCUAACCAGGGCGCUGAGUGCUAACGACGUUUGCUUGUGGCAUUUUUGAUUUAUUUAAAGGCUUUUACGCAGUAGGGUAGAUAUCUUUUGACGGUUGAAGCACAAAAACCCUAUUUUCGACCCCUAGAAGCAAGAUUGUGCAUGUGGGAGCUUUCCUUUUCUUGUUCUAGGGUUUCCAUCUCAUUUACAUUCUUCCAUUGUAAGCCAAGGUUCUCCAUGACAAUGGAGAGCUAAAUUCAUUUGUUGUUGGGGAAAGAUGUAACCUCUGAAUUUCAUGUAUUUGAACAUGUUUUGAAUAUCUUAAGCUUGUUUCAUUGAAUGCUAGUGAUUUUCUCCUAUUCUUAAUGCUUGUUAUGUUUUUCCCAUUCGUAGCUUGAUGAUUUGAUUUCUUUGUUAUUGGGAAAUAGCUUAUGAACCAUGAUCUGGAGGAAUUCACCUAAUGGAAAUAUUAUCUAGGGAUAGAAAUAAGCUAUUUAGCUCUCUUAAGCUUCUUUUCUUAAUGCAGAAUGCGUUAUUAGGGUUUGAAGGAAUUGAUGUCUAAUAAUCAAGGCUAGGCUUUUUACACCGAGGAAUUAGGUUCCAAGUAUUUUGUAAGUGACAUAAGCAUUCAAAUGAAGAAGAUGAGUUCUAAUAUGCAUGAAAUUGAAGUAGGUGAAAUUUAUCCCCAACAACAUCACCAUUUCAUAUCAUCUCAAUACCAUUCAUUCAUUCUUGUUUUAGCUUCAAAAGAUCAAUUUACAUUCAAAAUAUUAUGUUUAAUUUUAUUGCAUUAAAUUUCAUUCAAUGGAAUCAUUCUUUAGUCUUAAUUAGUUAAGUUAUUAUACGAUUGUUUGGUGUCACGAGUCUCUUGGGAAACGAUACUUGGUCUUACCAUUUUAUAUUACUUGAUAGGAUUCAGUACACUUGCCGAGGUAUUAACAAGUUUUUGGUGUCGUUGCCAGGGACUCAUGGUUACAUUAUACUUUUGUGUGAUUCUUAACCAAUUUAGACUUUAUUUUUGUUUUAUUAUCUUUAUUGUUUAUUUUUAUUCUUUUAGGGCUAGUUUGGUGCUCUAGUGUUUGUUGGGGCAAAUCGGCAAGUGUACCGAGUCGCACAAGUAAUAUAAAAUGGUAAGACCAAGUAUCGUAUCCUAGAGGACUCUCGGCGCUGAACAAUUGUGUGAAAACAAGAUUAAUUAAGACUUCAAAUAAAAGAGAUCAUGGAUUGUAUUACAAAAGGAAUAAAAUAAAACAAAGUAAAAUUGAUCAAUGGCAAAAGAGCACCAAGAUGAAUGGAGGUUGAUUUAUAUGAGAUGAGUAUGUUGUUGGGGUUAGACUUCACCAAGUUCCCUCUCAUGUAUAUAAGAAUUCUUCUUUAUUCAUUAAUGCCAAUGUCCCUCACUAAAACACUUAAACCUGAUCCCUCGGUAAAUAAGUCAGUCCCUAAUUACCAAUUCAUACAAUUCCUAGCAUUCCUGGUAAAAAGAUGUAAAGAUCAAGAGGUUAAGAAGACUAAGACUCAUACCCUCAUCCUUGAGUAAUAUAACCCUUAGGAGUAAUUCAACAAGGACCUAAAUUGAAAGGAACCUCCCGACACUCAUGCAACUCACAAAUAAUGCUAUUGUAUAAGCAAGAAUAAAGCAGAUGAAUUACUCUGACAAAUAAUGAAAUAAAGCAUAUAGAAUUAAGAAUCAAUUUAAAUACAUGAGAGUUUACAAGGUUACAUCAUUCCCCAACAACAAAUAGAAAUUAGUUCCCCAUGGACAUGGUGGAACCCUAUGAACUAUGGAAGAAAGAAAAAAAUGAAAAGACUAAGAAUUUGCUAGGAGUGUAUUGCUAUGCUCUCUUCUGCCAGGGAUGAAAAACGUAGAGCCUGAAAUCAUGCUCAAGCGUCGCAGGGAGCUCACCCAAGCAUGAAUUGAGGUUCAUGUGAGGCUUGGGCGCCAAUUUUGGACGCCUAAGCUUCGGGUGUCCAUCGCUCGGAUGUUAGGGUCGUCACCCAGGCGACCAGCGUUGAUAUGGGAUUCGCUGUUUUUCGUUCCUGUUGCCUGGGCUUCGGGUUUUCUCCCUUCUUGGUGCCUUUUUUACCCCUUUUGAGCUCCAUCUUCUUGGCUUUUCACUUCUUCUUCCAGUAUUGCUUCAAUUCUCUUUUAAAACAAGGGGAAUUUGUUGGGAAACUGCUAAAAUCAACCUCAACUCUCUUAUUCACACAAUUUAUUGAAAACACAUGAGUUCAAGCAAGUUUCUUAGUGGAAAAGGGUGCUUUUAGUAUCAAAAUCAUAUAGCAAAUAACGGUGUUUCAAACCGUUGUCAGAACCCCAAACUUAGAACUUUGCUUGUCCUUAAGCAAACAAAAUGCAACUCAGCUUUUCAGAACAAUCACUACAAUCACUCAACCUUUUUCAAAAACUUUUUCCAAGACGAGGAAUCACUUUUAUCAAUUUCAGCAUAAGAUUUCAGUCAAGAUGUGCAGAUGCUUCAAUUCAAUCAUGCUCAAUGUGAUGCAUUUUCAAUAGGUGCUAUCCUUAAGAGUGAUAAAUCAACCAAGCAGAGAUGCAAUCAGAAAUUCAGAGAACUAUUCCUCACCAGGGAAAGUGUUUCACUCAAACACUCAAAUAUAUCUCUCAAGCAUUCAAAAGUGUCUCACUCCACUCACAGGUGUAUGGUGUGGUGUUUCUCUCUGUUAUCACAAUGUCGCACAAAUUGAUUUUGCCUUCCAUUUAACCACAAUCAAACAUACUCACAAACAGGUUGUCAUCACAAGGGUUUUUCAUGGCUUGUAACUUGGCUGCGAUAAGAAGGAAAUUGGUUUUACUGGUCAACAAAGUUCCUUGAGUUAAGAGAGAUAUUUAUGAAUUCAUCUUUCAAGAACAACUCUCUUUUCCUUUUUCCUAGCCUUCCCUUGCAGUGAGUUUUUUUUUUCUUUUUGAAUUUUUCUUUUCUCACUUUUUCUUUUCUUUUUCCUUUUUCUUGCUUUUCCUUUUGAUUGCUCACUGCCUAGAGAAGUGGUUUGUUUCCUAGUAACCCCAAACUUGAACCUUUAUCAAUACCUCAUCAAAUGUUCUCAACUUAACUAAAGGUAAAGAUUUUUCAGAAAGGUUUUUCAAGACAUAUUAGGCUCAAGGUUCAAAGGUUAGAACAAAUUGUUCUCUUUUCAGUGGGCCAAAUAUUUUGAAGGCCAAAAGAUUAAGGGAUAACAAAAGAUGGCCUUGGUCAUAUGAAACCUGCAAGCAAAUAGUUCAAUCAUAGAAAAUUUGGAUAAAAUCAUUCAUGCUUCCAAAGUAACAACAAUUAUUUAAGAACAACUCUGAAGCUCAAAACUCACACAGGUAAGCUCAUAAGUUCUCAAAUUCAGAAAAACAACUUGCUCAAUAUUUUAAUCAAACUUUAUCUCAAGCACCUGUCUCACAAAUUUAUUAUCAUGCAUAAUCUCAACUUCAAUCAAACACUAGAAUUUUCAAAAAGCAAACUCAUCACAAGCACAGUUGAAUCAAAGCAGUUUAGCUCAUUCAAGCAGAGCACAAUAAAAUAAAAGAAAACACACAUUAAAUAAAAAUUUAAAAUUUAAAUUUAAAAGGUAAAGGUUCAGAGCACUGGAUUGCUUCCCACCAAGCGCUUCUUUAACGUCACUAGCUUGACCCAAUAGGCUCAUGUCACAUCAACCACCUGCCUCUUUGAUUCUGGUGUCAUCCUUUCCCUUAGCAUGCCAGCUGAUCUUCAGCAUCUUCCUGUUCACCUUUUUUGGUUCUCCUAGAACUAGGAGAUUCAAUCUCUAUCAAUCCAUCAGCCUGGUCUCAGUCCUUCCUGUUUCCUUAAAGGACUUUCGUGAACAUUUGUUCCUUUGCUGUCUUUUUCUUCCUUAGGUACCUGUGACAGAAAACCCUUUUUACCUUUCCUCUUUGAUUUAGCAGUUUUGGUACGUUUCCCGGGUGCAUCUUUAAAUGCAGCUUUGGGAUUGGUUUUCUUUACUUGAUCAUCUGAACCUCUCCUUACAGGUCUGAAAGUAGAGAAGACUGUCUGAAGGAACAAUAGUAGAAGAAAAAGGUAGAACAAGGCUUCUAAAGAACUUUUUCCCCCUCUUGAGAUUCUUGAACAACCUUCCCUUCCGGUAUCUGAUCAGGAAAUAGAUGACAUGACUAACAAUCAGAAUAGUAGGGGUAUGGGUCUAGUUAGACGUACUUUGUAGGAUUAUUCAACAAUCACUGACCCUUUUCAUUUUAACAGUAUUGCAAGGCCUAUGGUCAAUGCCACCAGCAUGGAGAUGAAGCCUGCUCUCAUUCACUUGGUGCAGAGCAAUCAAUUCAAUAGAUUAGCUCAUGAAAAUCCAUAUGAUCAUUUGACCACUUUCUUAGAGAUAAUACAUUGAAGAUUCAUGAUGUACCAGAUGAGGCUAUUAACCUUAGCUUGUUUCCCUUCUCUUUGGGCGGCAAUGCUAAGAUGUGGCUAAAUUCAUUCCCUAAGAAUAAUUUCACUGCAUGGGAAGAUGUGGUGGCCAAGUUUCUAAAUAAAUACUUCCAUCAGUCCAAGAUAAACAAAGGUAAGCAGGAAAUCUCUUCUUUUUAAUAGGGCAUGGAUGAAACCUUAGGUCAAGCAUGGGAUAGAUUCAAAAGUCUAUUGUAGAAAACUCCUAGUCAUGGAUUUGGUGAACCUAAGGUAGUCAUUCUUUUUCUUGGAGGACUCAAAUCUCAGACUAAAUUGAUGUUGGAUGCCUCAGUUGGAGGUCACAUCAAGUGGAAGACUCGAGAUGAAGCUUAUGAAUUGAUAGAGAAUAUGGCUGCUAAAGAUAAUGAGGAACAAAAGGAAAGAGCUCAGUUUCAACAAAAAAGGAGUUCUUCAAUUGCAAUCUCAAGAUGCUCUACUAGCUCAAAAUAAGAUAAUGACUCAGCUACUUGAGACUCUAAUGAAGAAAAUCUCUCAACUUCCUAAAGAGCUUCAAAAUGUCUCUCAAGCUAAAGAUCAUGUAUAUGGUCAGUGUGCCGUGUACGAUAAUUCCCAAGAAGUGAAUUAUAUGGGAAAUCAGGGCCGCCAAGGUAACUACAACAAAGGGUGGAAACCUCACCCAAGCAUGGUUGAAGGACAAGCUGGGCCAUUUAAUAGACCAUUGUUAAGCCCCUGGCAAGUGUACCAGAUCGUUAUCAAGUAAUAUAAACGGUAAGACCGAGUAUCGUUCUCCUAAAGGACUUAGUGGCCUAGACGUUCGGUUUAAUUACUUUACUUUUGUUUGAUUUCUAACCUAUUUAAGCUUUACUCUUAUAUUCUUUUUAUUGUGAAUAAUUUUUGUUUCAUUAUUUGUGGGCUAACUUGGUGCUCUAGUACUGUUGGCUCUAGUGUAUGCAGGGCACAAUCCGUACUAGGAGCACACGAUCUUCCCAACCUCUCCUCUUAGAUCUUGAAGUUGAGAAGAUUGCCCGAAGAAACAACAGUAGAAGAAGAAGAGAGAAUCGGGCAUCUAGAGAAACUUCUCCUGCUCUUGAGACUCCUAAGUAAUUCACUGUGCCUGCAACUGAGCAGAAAGUAGAACAAAUGGAUGAAAAUAGGAAUGGUGUUGGUGAUGGACAAGAUAGACGCACUCUGGAGGAUUUCAAUACCUUUUCAGGGUCGUUUCAUUUCAAUAGUAUCGCUCGGCCACAAAUCAAUGCACCAAACAUGGAGGUGAAGCCUGCUCUCAUUCAUCUGGUGCAGAGCAAGGAAUUUCAUGGCCUGGCACAUGAAGAUCCAUUCAAACACAUCACCUGUUUCUUGGAGAUAUGCAAUACGGUGAAGCUCCAAGAUGUUCCUGAUGACUUCAUAAGGCUCAGUCUAUUCCCAUUCUCUCUCGAAGGCAACGCCAAGGAGUGGCUCACUUCAUUUCCUGAAAAUAGCCUCACUUCAUGGGAUGAUGUGGUGGCAAAGUUUUGCAACAAAUACUUCCCUCAAUCCAAAGUAAUAAAAGGGAAGCAAGAGAUUUCAUCUUUCCAGCAGGGUUUUAGUGAGACACUUAGUCAAGCUUGGGAAAGAUUCAAAGGGCUACUAAGGAAAACACCCACUCAUGGGUUCGAUGAGCCCACAGUCUUGAACGUGUUCUUGACACGACUGGGUUCCCAAACUAAGUUGAUGUUGGAUGCCUCAUCUGGAGGAAACAUCCGUUGGAAGACCCUAGAGGAAGCCCGUGAGCUCAUUGAAAACAUGGCUGCUAAUGAUAAUGAAUCACAGAAUGAGAGGGGGCAACAAAGAGGUGUCCUACAACUCCAAUCUCAUGAUGCCAUCACUGCCCAAAAUAAACUCAUGACCCAACAGCUUGAAAUCCUCAUGAAUAAAGUCUCACAGUUGCAAGAGCACCAAAAUGUGUCACAUGCCCAACAUCAAGGAUGUGCAUUGUGUGGUGGAGAGCAUAUAAGUGGCCAAUGUGUGAAGCAAGGCAUUACCCAAGAAGAUGUAAACUACAUGGGUAAUCAAAACCGGCCAAACAAUUACAACCAAGGUUGGAGACCCCACCCUAGCAUGAGCCAAGGGCAAGCUGGGCCAUCAAACAGACCACCACAUCAACAAUACCAACCUCACUUUGCUUGUGCUGAAAGAUCCUCUAAGUUGGAAGACACUCUCCAACAGUUUAUGCAAGUCUCCAUUUCUAAUCACAAAAGCACUGAAGCUUCUAUAAGAAACUUAGAGAUCCAAAUGGGCCAACUGGCCAAGAAGUUGGAAGAGAAAUCUGACAAGGGUUUUGGAGCCAAUACAGAAGCUAACCUAAAGGAAGAGUGUAAAGUUAUCACCACUAGAAGUGGUAAGGUGUUAGUUGAAAAAGUGAGGGAGGACAAAGAAGAGAAAAAUGAGGAAGUGGAGAGAGAGAGUGGAGAGAAAAGAGAAGAUGAAAGUGGAGAGAAAAACAAUGAGGAAGAGGACGAGGAGAGAAAAGUGGAGGACAAAAGUGAGAAAAAUGAGUGUGUAAGAGAAGAGAAAAAAAGAGAGGAAGUUGAGGGAAAGAAGAAGGAACCUAAGAAACCACUCCCAUACCCAAAAGUUUUCUCAAGAAAUGAGAAAGAGAAGCAAUUCAUGCGCUUCAUGGAUGUCUUCAAGAAAUUGGAGAUUACUAUGCCCUUGACCAAAGCAUUGCAACAAAUUCCCUCUUAUGCUAAACACAUGAAAUAGUGCCUUAGCAAAUAGAAGAAGUACUUAGAGGAAGGAACAAUUGAAGUUCAAGGGAAUUGCAGUGCUAUUAUGCAGAAGACUCUACCCCCAAAAUUCAAAGAUCCGAAGAGUUUCACCAUCCCUUGCACUAUUGGGAAUUAUGAGAUAGGGAAAGCACUUGUUGACUUAGGGGCUAGCAUCAAUCUGAUGCCCCUAUCUAUGCUUCAGAAGAUUUGUGGUCUGGAAGUCAAGUCUACAAGAAUGAUUUUGCAGAUGGCAGAUAAAUCCAUCAGGCAUCCCUAUGGUGUGGUUGAAGACGUGGUGGUUGAAAUUGAUAAACUCCAAUUCCCGGUGGACUUUGUAGUUAUGGAAAUGGGGAAUGAUGUAGAAACACCUCUCAUUCUUGGAAGACCUUUUAUAAAGACGGCCAAGGUUGUCAUUCAUGUUGAUAAGGGAACUGUGCAAUUGAGAAACCAAGAUGAUGAGGUAACUUUCAAUGUCUUCGAUGCUGGCCAGCAAAUUCAAGAGAAGCAGACUAGUCCUAAAGUUAAGAAUGAAGUUCUAUCAGUGACUAGCCUAAUAGGGCAAGUUGCCCAAGUGGUCAACAAGAGGGUUAAUUGUUUCUCUCCAAAAGUGGAGGAUGAGGAUGGAGACAAAGAAGAGAAACUUGUUCAUCAACACUCCAUUGUGGAAAGUGAUGAAACCAAACCUGGCAAACCAGUGAAGCUCAAGAACAGGUUAUGGGUUAUCAAGGCACUAAAGGCAAAUGGGUUACUUGAAAUAGAGGCUCCCUAUUCAAGGAGAGUCAAGUUGGUGACAAGAAAAGUUUUGAGAUUAUGUUGAUGUCAUGAAAGGAAGAAACCCACCAACACCACAAAUCAAACUUGAGCAUAAUGGUGUCAAGCUAAUGACGUUAACCAAGCGCUUGCUAGGCGGCAACCCAGUUUUCUAACCUUUUCUUAUGUGUGACUUUGUUAUUUGAGUGUGUUUUGAUUUUUAGAAUGUUUUUUUAAUAGGUUUUAGUUUGAUUUCAUGACUUUUGAGUGUUUGAGUUUGGAUGGUAGUUAGUAGGGUGUGACUAGUUGCUUUGUUGUUUUUGUUGAGUUUUGUUGUGAAAGUGUAUGUCUUGGAGUACUUUUGUUUGUUUUGAUGUGCUCUAGAGUGAUUUAGGAUGCAAUUAUGUGUUUUGAAUUAGUUAGGUAUGUGUGUUGUGCAAAAGCAUGGUCUUGACAUGUUUUAGUUAUAUGCAUUGCCUAUUGCAUUCAUGUUCUAGAUUGAUGCAAUUGAUUGCUUUCAAAGGUGCAUUCUUGGUGUUUUUGAUUAGGAGAAACAUGAGCAUUUAGUUUGAGUAUGUUUGAAUGCAUGAUUAGUGUCCAAAAUCCUAGAUUUAGAAGCCAAAAUGCUACAAAAUUGCAAACUGCCAGACCACUGCUCGAGCGGCACCUGGGCGGCACCUGGGCACCAUACCAGCAGAGGCCCAUUUCUUCAUUUUUUUUAUAUGCCGCUCGAGCGGCACAGUCUUGCCGCCUGAGCGCCAGUGACCAGGCCAGAUUUCACAUUUUAAACUGUUUGGGCCCACAUCGAUUUUUAAAAGCCUUAACCUCCUUCACUUUCCCUUUCUUCUUACAUCUCCUCACCGUCACAACCCCUGUCACAUUCACCCAUUCCCAUUUUUACUGUUUAACACUCCAAUAUCUCAACUUUUCACACCAAACUCACAUUCCCUCACACUUUCUCCCUUUUCACUCCCUUCUCCCUCUCCAUUCAAACCCAUCAACUCUUGGUGUCUAAUCACUCUUGGACUUGGACAUUGUCAUUCAUUCAAGUAUAUUUGCAAGUAGGUUUCUUCCUCAUUCAUUUUCGUUUACAGUUUUAUAUGAUGCUUUUGAGAAUCAAUUGAAAGGUAAAAGCCUGCAUUUGUCAUGUGAAUGAAAUGAGAUGCGUCCUACUUUGUUCUUGUUUGAUUGUGCAUUUCUAAGGGGUCAACUUGCCACUUCUCAGAUGCUUCGUGAGCUUACCUUUACUAUGCUUGAGCUUACCUUUACUAUGCUUGAGCUUAACAUGAUGUUUGCUAGUAAGUUUGAUGAGUAUGUUGCUUGGCCUGAAGACUAGUCCCAUUCUACUAGGGAGGUGGAGCAGCAGCUGAUGGUGAUACUGAUGAAGAGGCUGAAGAAGAAGGGGAUGAUGAUUCUAAAGAGAGCGAGGAUAGCAUUUCAUGAGUUAGAGCUGGAGGCUUCUCUACUUUUAAUAGGAUCUUUCAUAUUGCUUUCUUUUGUUUUGUAGUUAAACUCUUAAACUUGGUCUUGAAAUUUAGUUCUUAGUUUAGGAUUGAAUGAACAUUUUGCGUUUCAACUUGGAUGUUUUGGUUAAGUUAUCUGGCUUGAUAGACUAUGUUGAUCCAUGAUGCUUAUGCUUGAAUUUGAAAUGACGCUUGAGAUUGUGCAGUUAAGUUCAAAUUGUGUUGCUUUCUUCAUGAAAAGUCUGAGAAUGCCUUAUGUUUAAUUGCGAUCAAUAUUUAUGGCAGUUGCUUGAUGAUGUUUGAGGAACCCUGAGUUAACCUUGUGAGAUGUUGUGCCUUAGAUUUUUCUUGUGAAUGCUAUCAUGAUAGAUCACACUUAACUUUGCCUGAGUGUCUCUGAAUUGAAUUAUUUGCUUGCUUGACACACAUGAUCAAGGCCAUCUUUGUCUUCUACCUCACUCACAUGUUCUGAGCCAAAUAAGCCAAUACAAACCCCUUGAACCUCAAUGAAAGAUGACUUCCCUCUUUGAACCUUAAGCCUGAUGAAAAUUCCCUUAUUUCCUUACCUUGAGCUGAAUAGAGUAAAUCUGUUUGUUGCAGGAGAUUGGUUUAAAGUUUGAGGGAGUUUAUGUUAAAAGGUUGUAUUGAGAAAAAUAGAAAAAAAAAUUGAGGAAAAAGAAGAAAGGAAAAGAUAAAGAAAAGAGAAUUGAAUGAAAGAAAGUUGGGUCAUAAGUUGGAAAGUGGUUGUAAUUUAAGUGAAGCAAAAGAGAAACUUGUGCAUGAUUUGAAUUGUUUAAUCUCUUAGCUCAAGGUGCUUUGUUAUCCAGAAAAACCGUGUUUCCUUCUUAGCCCAGCCUCAAUACAAGCCAAUGAAAAGUCCUUGUGAUGUUGACUUGCUUGUGAAUGUGUUUAAUUUGGUUGAAACAAAUGGUAAAGUUGAUUUGUGUGACAUUGUGAUAGUAGAGUGAUAGACAAACACCCUUAUACACCUGUGCAUUAGAGUGAAACACUAUCUUGGGUGAGGACGGGUUUUACAUAAUUCAUUAAAGCAUUUUGCCAUGAUUGUUGAUCUCUUCUAAAAUGUGGCAUUUGAUUGAUUGAAUGUAUUGUGAACACCACAUUGGAAGGCUAAUAUAUAUGUACACAUUUCUGGUCAUUUCAAGUUAAGCAAGGGUUGUGGACUCUACUGUGUCUGUGAAAAUAUUUUUUUGUGUUACAGCGAAAUACCUUUUGCUUGAGGACAAGCAAGGUUCUAAGUUUGGGGGAGUUGAUAAGGACAUAUUUUACCAUGAUUUCAGUAAUGAAUUAAGAGAAAAUAUCAACUUUUCCUUUACCUUUUACCUUGUAAAUCCUAGUUUUCUCUUAGUUUAGAAAGUGGUUACACUUUUAACUUUAAUGGAAUAGUUUGAUCAUUAAUCCCUGCUUUUAUAGGCUUAAAGUAUUUGGAAGAAGUUUGUGCAUCAAAUGAAGUCACUAGAACCCAAAGAAAGCACGAAAAAUAGCCUAAAAGGUGAAUUUUGGGAUGCUGCCGCUGGGCUACCGCUCGAGCGGUGACGAUGCUGUUCCAGCCAAAAUGUGGCACCCGAGCGCCCCAGAAGGGCGCUGGGCGCCCUUUGAUUCGCUGUUGGUGCCUAAAUUGGCGCCCCGGCACCCCAAAAAGGGUGUUGGGCACAACUUUUUGCUGACUUGGCACCCUUGACCUAUAAAAGGCUCACAUUCUUCGAGGGUUAAAACUUCUUGGCGGCUGAAGCUCUGAAGCAUUGUUUUGGACCUCUUGGAGCUGGUUUUGGACUGUGGGAGCUCUCUUUUCCUUCUCCUUGGGUCUCCUUCUACCCCAUUUUCUUCCAUUGUAAGCUCAAGCUCUCCAUGACUAUGAAGAACUAAGUUCUUUUAUGUUGGGCAAUGAUGUAAACUAUACAAACCUUUUGUAAAUGCACUGGUUCUAAAUGAAAAUAUUUUUUCUCAUUACUUGUUAAUGUUUAUUUCUAUGCUUAAAGCUUGUUAUGACUUGAUCAAUCAUGGCAUGAUGUUAGGGUUUGCUUAGUAUUGGGAAAUAUUUUGUGAACCUUGAAAUGAACAUAAACACCUAAAGGAAAUAGUGUCUAGGGAUAGANNNNNNNNNNNNNNNNNNNNNNNNNNNNNNNNNNNNNNNNNNNNNNNNNNNNNNNNNNNNNNNNNNNNNNNNNNNNNNNNNNNNNNNNNNGUCUUAAACUUCUUUUCUUAAUGCGGGUGAACUUGUUGGGUUGCCAAGGGAUUGGGAUUUUACAAGUGAACCUAGGCUUUCUCACCAAGGGAUUGGGUUUAAGUAACUUAGCUAGUUGACAAGAACAAGUUAAUGAAGAAGAGUGGUUGUGUGCAUUUGCAUAUGAUUGUAUAAGUUGAAAUCAUUCUCCAACAUAUUCAUUUCACAUAUUCGUUAAUCAUCUCAUUUUCACGUAUUUUGGCCCCAAGUAGUUCAAACCGUUAAUUAUGCAUGACUUUUACUUUCAUUGCACAAUUUCACACUAAAAUGGAAUCAUUCUUUAGCUUAAAUUAAUUAGCAAUUAUACGAUUGUAAAGUAGUGAUUGAGUCUCUUGGAAAACGAUAUCCGGUCUUACCGGUUUACUACUUGAGCGAUUUGGUACGCUUGCCAAAGUCUCAACACUUACCCGUUUAUAUUACUUGGUAACGAUCUGGUACACUUGCCAGGGGCUUAACAAUGCUAAACUGUUUGCACAUUGUCUCUAUUGAAUAUGUGUUGUUAUUUUACAUGGAUGUUCCUAUGAUUAAAUAUGUUUUAUAUAUUUGGAACAUGCUUGUGUUGAAAUGUGUGUUAAAAUGUUUUUGAUUACUGUUACACUUUUAUGAAGUUAUAUUUGUUGUAAUAAAGGUUCAGUUCAGUCGACUACACUAGUAAUGGAGUCGAUUAAGCUAAAAUCUUUGUACAGAUUUUGUACACGUGUACUUGAUGAGAUUUUGAGAUGAAAAGGAUUUCAAAGUGUUUUUUCAUGAGUCAGUCGACAGGUUGGAUCACUUAUUUUACUGUAUUACUGUUGUAUUUGGAAUUCUGUUUUGAUUACUUGCUCCAAUGGCUAUAUUUUCAAAAGUUAGUUAGGAUUAACUAACUGGGUGAACUGUCAUAAAUGUGUGUUAAUUUUUUUGAUUGAGGAGUCUGUGUGUUGACUGUUUGUUAUAAUUGAUUUAAUACAGUCGAUUCUAUUAGUAGGUCAUUCAACUGAGACUGACAGGAAAACUAUAAAUAGAAACAGAACACGAUUUGUUCUGAGACUUUUGUGAUCUAACAUUUUCAUUGUCCUAUUUCAGAGAAAGCUCUCAGCUUCAGAAGCUCCAAGAAUUCUCCAAGAAGACGGUGGUGAUCUUUCUUGAGAGAGAUUCAGAUUGAGGAGUCAUUUGCGCUUACUGCUUAAUCAACAUCAACACAUAGAAGGUGCUUCUGGUUUGAACUUGAAGGCUUGACAUCAUGUGAAGACUGUUGCAUUUGACUGAAGGCUUGGCAACCUGUGAAGUGUGCCGUGAUAGGCUUGGCAACCUGUGAAGCAUGUUGUGAUAGGCUUGGCAUCCUGUGACGAGUGCUGGUGACACGUUGAGGAUUGUUCAACAUGCGUGCAGAUUGCAGGAGAGGGGAAUCUUGCUACAAUUCUGGUUUUUGUGUGCAGCUAUAUUUGGUUUUGGGUUAGAGGGAGACUUAUAUUUUUGCGUGGUGCUUCCAUAAAUUCCUUAUUGUAAAAACUGUAACCAUUAUAGUGCAUUUGCUUCCAAGGAUGGAAGGACACUGGAUGUAGGUAGUGUUGGCCGAACCAGUAUAAAAAUCAGUGUUUGAUUUUUCUAUCCCUGCACUCUUUUAAUUCAGUCGACUAUAUCUGUCUACCAGUCAACUACGUUUUUCCGAUGCAUUACAUUUUUCAAUAACUUGCAUUUCAAGGAAAGAUCAAAAGCUUUGAACUUUCAUACCAAGAUUGCGAAAAGAUUUUAAAUUUGAACUAACACCAAUUCACCCCCCCCCCUCUUGGUGUAAAACGAAGCCAACCUAUUUCCUAACAACACGUUGAGGAUUGUUCGACGUGGGUGCAAAUUACAAAAGAGGAGAUUCUUGCUACAAUUCUGGUUUUGUGUGUGCAACUAUAUUUGGUUUUGGGUUAGAGAGGAGAUUUAUAUUUUUGCGUGGUGCUUCUAUAAAUUCCUUGUUGUAAAAACCGCAACCAUUAUAGUGCAUUUGCUUCCUGAGUUGGAAGGACACUGGAUGUAGGCAUUAUUGGUCGAACCAGUAUAAAAACCAGUGUUUGAUUUUCUCUAUCCUUGCACUCUUUAUCUCCAGUCGACUAUAUUUGUUUAGCAGUCAACUACGUUUUUCUACUGCAUUGAAUUUUCAUUACUUGCAUUUCAAGAAAAGAUCAAAAGCUUUGAAUUUUCAUACCAAGAUUGCGAAAAGAUUUUGAUUUUGAACUAACACCAAUUCACCCCCCCCUCUUGGUGUAAAACGAAUCCUACCUGUUUCCUAACACCUUGUGCCUGCUCUUGAGGCCAAGCCAUAGCACUAUGGAACUCUUCCAUAGUGUUGAGAUUGUUGACAACACAAACUCUAUAUCAGUCUAGUUUUUUAUGAUGACAACACUAUGCUUAAUAACAGUACAUAUAUUGUUGUAUUACAUGUUCUUAUUCUGAACUGAUUGUUAUAUUCCUGAACAUGUUUUGAUGUACUGUGGUGUAUGUUCCUAAGUUAAUUGUCUGAUAUAUUUGUGGAACAUGCUUAUAUGAUUAUGUGCAAUGUGAACUGCUUUAUCAAAAAUACUUUACUGCACAUUUUGGAAAGUGAAAAAUCACAAGCACUUUUAUAAACUUAUAAUUGUGUGACAAAGUUCUAGUCCAGUCGAAUACAUCUGUAAUGGAUUCGACUAUUCUAAAACCUUUGCACAGAUUUUGAGAAUCAGUGCUCUAUGAUGUUUUGGAUUGAAAAGAAUUUCAAAAUGUUUUUCCAUGUGUCAAUCGACUUUGUCCAGAGUACAUUCGACUGUAUUAUUGAUCUGUUUUGGAAUUUUGUUAUGCUUACUCGCUUCAACGACUAUAUUUUUUAAAAGUUAGUUAAGCAUUGAUGACUUGGUCAACUGUAUUAAAUGUGUGUUGAUUUUCCUUGACUGAGAACUACUAAGUUGACUUUCUGUUAUAACUGUAUUAAUACAUUCGACUGUAUUAGUAGUGAAUUCGACUGAGAAACAAUCUGACUGAGAGAAAUCUAUAAAUUGGCUGAACACAAUUUGUUCAGUGACUUUUGACGCUCUAACAUUUUCAUUUCUUGUUUCAGAUUAAAUUCUUUGUGUUAACAGCUCCAAGAAUUCUCCAAGAAGUUUGUGGUGAUCUAUCUUGAGAGAGAUUCAAAGGGAGAAGGCUUAUGUGUUGACUGUCUGAUCAGAUACUGCACAAAGAAGGUGCUUCUUGAUUGAUCAUUGAAGGCAUGGCAUCCUGUGAAGACUGCUGCGUUGUUUGAACGUUUGGCAUCCUAUGAAGAGUGUUGGAAUUGACUUGUUGUGAUAUAGGGGUUACAGGUGGAGGAUUGUUCGACGUGGAUUCAGAUUAUAGAAGAGGGGAUUCUUGCUGCAAGUUUAAUUUUGUUUAUUGUAGCUAUAUUUUGGUUUUAGGUUAGAGAGGAGAUUUAUAUUAUUGACGUGAGGUCUUCUAUAAAUUCCCUGUUGUAACAACUGCAACCUAUAUAGUGCAUUUGCUUCCUAUGUUGGAAGGACACUGGAUGUAGGCAUUGUUGGCCGAACCAGUAUAAAAUCCAGUGUUUGCUUUUCUCUAUCCCUACACCCUUUAUUUUAGUUGACUAUAUCUUUCACGCAGUUAACUACGUUUUUCCGCUGCAUAAAAAUUUCCAUUACUUACAUUUCUAGAAAGAUCAAAAAGCUUCAUAUUUUUUUUUUUAAGAUUGUGAAAAGAUUUUGUUUUUGAAACAACACCAAUUCAACCCCCUCUUGGUGUAAAAACGAACCUACCUGUUUCCCAACACAUAGUCCACCUGUCCACCGGUGGUGUGUGAUAUAAGCCUACUAUCAUCUCGACAGUAGCCACCUGCCCUAUACGAAUAGACUCCAGUCUGGCCUUCGUCAUUGACAUGUACAUGUCCCUCAUCUGGAACGACUCUACAUGUUGUGCAGGUGCAUCAUCCUGUUGGGCCGCUCCUCUCUUAGGACGUCUCCUAGGCACUAGUCGAACUGCCUCAUCUCCUCCGCAAAACUGCCUAUAAUAAGAAACAUCUAUGGCCUUCCUAAUCCUCUCGAAUGAUGGAGUAGAAGUAUCCACCCUAGCCUGCUGGCACAGAUAGGUAAUCAGGGAAGGAUGCCCCAAUGGUGUCCUACUACUCACAAUAGUAGCACAACUCUGAAUCUCGUUGGCGAUGACCUCACCAACAUUCACGUCCAUCUGCCUCAGCAUACAAUAGAUGAACAUGAUCUUGUGUAGAGUGAUAUCAGAAACAUGGAAACAUGGCUGAACAUUGGCAUGAGUGAAUGUCAUCCAGUACUUUGCCAAGGGUGUCAUAUCUGCCCUUCUUAUGAUGAUGGACACUCCAUUUGGGUUCCUCUGAAAAUGUCCUCCAGGGACACACAUAACCCUCUCAAUGUCCUCAUGAUCUAUGAACUCCCCUUUGUACAGUGCAUACUGGCACUGCUCAUCCGGCCACUCAGUGCCCAAGAAGUUGUUAAUCGUAUCGGGGUCAUAUCGGAUAAUCUCCCCCCUAAUUUAGCUAGUAUACUUCUCCAUCGAGACUCCUCCUCUGGAUAAGGCAUUUGUAUAGAAUUCCUUCACAACUUCAAUGUUAGCUGGCGUAGGAUGUAGCCAGCUUUUCCCAGUUUCUUCUCUCAAUUUCCAACCCAAACUAAGGAGAUAAGUCUAGAAUAAAAAUAACCUUCAUUUCCAUAACAACCUCCUCUCUUGCAUAAUCUAGUAGUGCUCCUCAUGUUUCCUAGAUAGGAACCUAUGAGAAUAGAAUCUUCUCGGCCUCUCCGACUCUUUUCUCUUGUUCCCUUGAGUCUUUAUUGUCCUUGACGCAGAUGCCAUUCCUACAUCAAAUAAAGUUUACAAGACCAAGGAAAUUCACCAUUAGGAGUUGGCAAACAAUCAAUCACACUCCUAUUCAAGCACUGUCCAACGUUGAGGGAAGAACAAGACCCCUCAGCACCCCUGCAUCAUAGAAAUCAAGCAAUAUAACAAAACCUGACGCCCACCGUUCAGCGCUACUAACCGUUCAGUGGCAGCGUCGAGGUUUUUGCAAAAACCCGUUCCUAAAUGCUCUAAUCUCCACUCAAUCACAUCUUUCACAGUUCCAAACGAAAUUCAUGCAAUUUAAUCGCUGCAAAAUGUUUCUAUAUCAUCAAAUCAUGCAUAGAAUCAAAAGCCCUAAUUUCUCAUGUUCCUACACAUGUUCUUCAUCAAAUUUCAAUUCUUGAAAGCCUAAGAAUAAAAUUGCAUGACUUACUUGAGUGGAGAUCCUCUAAAUUCUUGCAAACUCUUUUCAAUUAAUGAUGAAUGCCUCCCAAUGCAAAGGUCUCACCAAAGACCCUAAACUUUGACAAUGGAAUGGGUGAAAAUGAAGAAAUAUGAAAUUUUGGUGAGUGGGUGAUGAGAAAAGUGGAGGAAGUCCUUGGAAAUGCUCUUGAAAGUGAAAGCUAGGUGCUAGGGUUUGUGGAGACCACUUAGACAAGCUCAGAAGAGGAAUUUUCGAAGUGCAAAGAACCCCCAAAUGUUGAGCUUUUAAAAGGCCCGUGUUAGGGUCUCCACCGCUACCGCUCAGCGUCCACGGGACUGCUCAACAGUGGGCAUUAAAAUUUUUCUCACUCUUCUAUGCUUGCCCUCACAUGUUUAGACCUGUAGCACUUCAUUUCAACUUUCAAUUUUUAAUUUUAUGCACUUCCCCUCUCAUAUGCAACAUUCAAAACCUAUAAUGCAACUAGAACAGAGUUAGAAACAAGAGAACAAUCAACUGGGUUGCCUCCCAGUAAGCUCUCUUUUAACGUCAUUAGCUUGAACCGGUAAAGCUCAAACACCCAUCAGUAGGUGUUGAUACUCCCCUUUGCUUGAUAUUAUUUUCUUUUUCUUCUUCCUGCUGAAUUUCUUCAGAAAAUUUCUAAAACCAAGCACUUGUUUCCAUGUAUCAAUCAUAGGAACUUUAAUCUCCAAUUUCUUGAAGAUCUCUAUAAAAACACUUACUUUUCUUUUCCUUCCUAUGAUAUUUCUUUUGAUGAGGAAGGGGUUUUUCACAUGAUCUUUCCUUUCUUCCUCUCUUCUUCUUUUUCUUCAUCUCCUUCCUCAACUUUCUCUUUUUAUUUUCUCUUAAUUUCUUCUUUUUCAUUUUCGCACUUUUUUUCUUUUUUCUUUUCUCUCAACCACUUCUUUUUCUUUCUCCUCAUCUUUCUCUCCCUCACUCAACUUUUCUGUUUCUUCUUCCUCUACAUCUUUCUCUCCCUUACUCAACUUUUCUGUUUCUUCUUCCUCUACAUCUUUCUCUAUCUUUUCCUCCUCAACAACCUUAUCACUUUCAAAGAUAGUGGCUUGACAUUCCUCUAUAGGGUUAAUUUCAAUGUUAGCCCCAAGUUGAAUUUUUUCUAUGACCUCCACCCUCUUAGAUAGCUGACCAAUUUGUGUCUCCAAAUUCCUUAAGGUACGUCAUAGCUCCUAGAAUCAUACUUCUUCACAAAUUUGUCGAACUUUUCAUUAAGGUUGUUAACUUGUUCCGUUUAGCUACCUGAUGACAUAGUUAUUGAUCGUCCUCCCACGUUUCUGUUGGUAAAGAGAUUGUUGCUGCCAGUGACAUUGAUGCAUCACUUCCAUGCUUCUAGGAAAAGAAAAACUUUUAUCCAUGUCCUACAAAAAAAUUUGUCACUCUUUGUAUCCUCCUUUACACCUUUGACAUGGUACAUUUCCCUAUUCAUGAUAUCCUGAAAAAGUUUGUCAGAAUUUGUGUUCUCCUUAAGUGGAAUAAUUUGUUGUUCAACAGCUUGCCCAAAUUGGCUUUGAUCCAUGUAUGAGUGAGUUUCCCACCAGUGGUUGAAAUCAUUUUGGUAGAAUUGAGUGCCCAUAUAAUCAAAUUCUUGUCCAAAUUGCAUCCUGCAAACAUUAGGCACAAAACUCUAGAAAAAAUUUAUUAGAACAAAAAUAAAAAUAAACAUAAAAACCAAGUCAAAUUUAAUCAAAUUCACACUACUAGAAAAGUUAAACCAAACGAGUCCCCAACAACGACGCCAAAAACUUGUUAAUCCCUUGGCAAGUGUACCAAAUUAUUAUCAAGUAAUAUAAACGGUAAGACCAAUCUUAUAAGACUUGAGAAAGAAAUAAUUUUGUUGUGUUGAUGAAAAAAGAAAAUAAACAUGCAAAUGCAAGUUGAAUCAAUUGGCAAGUAAAAGAUAUGAAUGAAUGUACUUGUUGGGGUUUACAAUUUCAUCCUUUUCUUAUAUCUACUUUUCUUAUUAAAUUCGCUUUAUUAUUAAUUGCCAUGCAAACUUUCUAAUCUACUCUAAACCGAUCUCUCAACGAAAAGAGCCUAUUAUCAAAUAGUAGUUUACUAUCUCUAGUCUCCAUUAGUAAUUAACAAUGCAUUAAAUUACAAAAGCAAAAACAAUUGAUCGUCCUACUCCUAUCUCUAGGUAGUAUUUCUUAAUCAAGGGAAUUACUAUCAGUUCGAGAUUUCCCCGUACGUCUCUCUAUCGAAAAAAUCAAAUAUCUUUACACUGAAUGAGUUAAACGAUGUGAGCAUUAGUCUUACAUAAGAAACCCAAACAAUUGAUAAUACAAGCAUAUGAAUAAAAUAAUAAUUUCAAUAUAAGAGAGUUUCAAAAGGAUUACAUUGUUCCCCAACAACAAAGGGUUUUAGUUCACCAUAGACAUGGUGAAACUAGAUGGAAUUAAUGGAAAAGAUGAAAGAGUAAACCCUAGAUUUGAUAAAUUGGAGCCUAAGCAUCCAAGAAAUUGCCUCCCCUUUUCUAGCCAAAAAGAAAAAUUUUGUCCCACAUGAAAAAGAACAUUAUAUGUUCUACCCUUUUUGAACCUAAGCCUUAAACAUGAUGUGAAAACCUUUCUUUGAAAAUCUUUACCUUGAGUUAGGUUGAGAAUUAUUUUGUGGUAUUGAUAAAGGUUCAAGUUUGGGAUCACUGGGAAAAUUGAGGAAGAAAAGUUAGGCAUUGAGCUAAUGUGUUGAAUGUAAAAAAGCAUGAAAAAGAUAGAAAAAAUAACAUGAAAUGAAAAGCUCAAUGUGAAGAAAAGGGAAAGCUGGGAAUGAGUGAGAUUGGUUAAAAGAGAGUUGUGCUUGAACUAUGAAUAUUUGAAUGACUCUCUUAACUCAAGGAUUUUGUGAGCUAGAAAAACAAAUUUUUCUUGUUAGCUCAACCACAUUAUAAGCCUUGGAAAGUCCUUGUGAUGACAUGUGUAUGUGAUGAUAUUUGAUUGUGGCAAAUGAAUGGCAAUUUUGUUCUAUGUGACAUGUGGAUAGUAGAGGGAAGGAGUGACCUUUUGAAACACUUGAGUGAUUGAGUGAAACACCUUGUCUGGUGAGGAACAAUUCCAUGAAUCUGUGAUUAUAUCUAUGCUUAGUUAAUUAAUCAUUCAUGAAAAUAGCAUCUGUUGAGUCUUAUGUGAUUUUGAGAACAUUAUGAUGGAUUGAUAUGAAGCAUAUGUGCAUCUUGAUUAAAUUCUAUGAGCUAAUUUAAGUGAUGACUUGUCUUGAGAUAUUGUUUUGGAAAAGGUUGAACCAUUGUGAUGUUUUGUGGAAGAUUAAGUUGCAUUUUGUUUGCUUGAGGACAAGCAAAGUUCUAACUUUGGGGUUCUGAUAACGGUGCAAAAACCGUUAUUUUCAUAGUUAAAAUUGAUACUAAAUCACACCCUUUAUGACUUAGAAUUAGCUUGAAAUCAUGCAAUUUGCUUAAGUUGGAGAAUAAAAGAGUCAAAGUGGGUUUUCUGGGUUUUAUGCUUGGUUUUCCUUUGAUUUGGCAGGAUUUAUUAGGAAUUGAAUGAAGGAAGUCAAGUAAGAGUAGAGUUGGGUGCAAAAGAAGGUGGAAAAGUGAAGAAAAGAAGAGUCGCAGCCACCGUUGGGCGGUGAAACCACCGUUGGGCGGUGUACUCUCCAGGGAAGUCACUCUCAAACGCUUAAGUUGCACCGCUAAAGGGUGGAGUUGAGUAUCAUGUUGAGAUUGUUGACAACACAAUAUUUAUAUCACUCUGGUUUUUUAUGAUGACAACACAUUUUUAAUAACUCACAUAUGUUGUUGUUGUGUUACAUGUUCUUAUGCUUAUUGGUUGAUAUAUUGUUGAACAUGUUUAUGUGUUAUAUUGCUAUGUGAAUGUGUACUUAUUCUGCUUGUACAUGUUACAUCAUAUCUGGUUGCAUUACACAUGUUUUAAAGGAAGCAAACCACAUGCACUCUUGUGAACUUAAAAUUGUGUCACAAAGGUGUAGUAAAAUCGUCUCUAUUACUAAUUGAAUCGAAUAUACUAAAGUCUUUGUACAGAUUUUCAGAAACAGUGCUAUGUGAGAUUUUGAAAAGGAAAGAAUUUCAAAAUGUUCCAACAUGUUGAAGUCGAUUAUGUGCGCCACACAUUCGCCUAUAUUAGUUGUUUGCUUUGAAAUUAUGUUAUGCUCAUGAACAGUAAAGACUAUAUUUUUAAAAGUUAGUUGAGCAUUGAAUGAAAGUCAACUGUAUUGAAUGAUAAUUUAUUUUAUUUGACUCAAUGCUACUGGUCUGACUAAUCUGUUAUAACUAUCCUAACCCAGUCGAUUGGAUUAGUAGCAUAUUCAACUAAGGGAGCGUCUGAUUAACAGAAAUCUAUAAAUAGGUGAAACCUGAAGUUAUUCUAAGACUUUUGGACAUUUGAUGAUCUAACAUUUUCAUAUUCUGUUUCAGAUUGUUUCUUUGAGAUUAUAGAGCCCUAAGAACUUUUCAAGAAGACGGUGGUGAUCUUGCUUGAAGAAGAUUCAAAGGGAGACUGAUUGCGCGCUCACUUCUUGAUCACAUUUCUGCACAAUGAGGUGUUUCUAGUUGAUCAAGAUUCUUGUUGGCAUCCGUGGUGAUUGUUGUGAUUACAGGGGAUAGACUCGUGGAGUCUGGUUCACUUUGAGGAUUGUUCAAAGUGGUUGGAAUAUUGUAGGAGAGGGGACAUCUUGCUACAAGUCUUGUUGUGUGGUUUGCCUAUAUUUUAGUUAGAAAGUGAGAGAGGUGUUUUAUAUUUUUGAUGUGGAGGUCUUCUAUAAAAGCCUUGUUGUAAAAACCUUGACCAUUAUAAUGCAUUUGCUUCCUGGUACAAGAAGGACACUAGAGGUAGGCAUUGAGGCUGAACCAGUAUAAAAACCAGUGUUUGAAUUCUCUAUCCCAUCUCUUUUACUUACAGUCGAUUUUAUUAUCUGUGUAGUCAACUACGAUUUUCCUCUGCACACGAAUUUUCAUUAUUUGUAAUUCAAGAAAGUAUGUAAAGUUUACCACUUUGUAUAAAAUAUUGCGAAAAGACUCUGAUUUUAAAAAUCCAUCAAUUCACCCCCUCCCUUCUUGGUGUAAAAAGAAGCCUACUUGUUUUGCAACAUAUUGCACUUACCGCCGGGAGGUGGACUCUUUAGUGGAUUCUAUGGACGACGCUUAAGCGACAACGUUGAGGGGUGACAUCAAGUGUCGCGCCUACCGUCGGGCGGUGUACUAUUGGGGCUGGCUAAAUUUCUAAUAUUUUUCUAAGUUAUAAAUAGAUUUGCAUGAAUUAGAGAAGCUAUCUUUUGGUAGAAAGGACGCAAAAACACAUUUUUCUCUACUUGGAGGCGGAUUUUGGAUGCGGAAGCUCCAAUCUAUCAAUUCUAGGGUUAUUUUUCCCAUACUUUUCAUUCAAUUCAUCUAGAUUCACCAUGAUUAUGGUGAACUAAACUCUUCUGUUGUUGGGGAACAAUGUAAUCCUAUUUGAAAUUCUCUUAUAUUGAAAUUCUUGCUUUACUCAUAUACUUUUGUGUAUCAAUUGUUAGAGCUUUUCUUCCAUUAUAUUUGCAAGCUUUGUUUAAGACAUUAUUCAAUAGCAUAAUCUUUGAUUCUAUCUAUAUGGACACGUAUAGUUAGGUCUAGACAUGAGGGAAUUCUCUUGAUAACAAUAUUACCUAGACAUAGGAAUAGGAGGAUCGAUUGUCGUAAGCUUCUGUGCAAAUUAUGUAAUGCAUGAAUAAUUGCUAGGGAGACUAGUACAAAAAAGAAUUUUUAAGUCUAUCAAUUUAAGUCUGUUAAUAAGAAAAUAGACUUAAAAACUAUGCGGUGGCAAUUUGGUAUAUAAAAACUAGUUAUUAAAGUCUGUUGCUGACCAACAGACUUAAAUAAUUAUGUUUUUACAUCUGUUUACAUUUAUUGCUAUUUUAGCCUACUUAAAUUAAAUUUUUAAAAUCUCUUAAAUGGUAAAUAGUCUCAUAAAGUGAUUUAACUUAUUAAAACAUCUGAUACAUUUAGGGUUUCACUUGCGUACUCUUGAACUCUUCAACCCUUUUCACUCAACCAAAUCGUCCUCCCACGAAAUCGCUGUCCGAUAUUCCAACAACGGCAGUAUGCACGGAUGGCAUGUUCCAUCGUUAUAAACCGCGACAACGUUCAACAUCCAACAACAACAUCGUUCUAGCAUCCACUUUUGCAUUGACAUUCCAACCUUCUUUCGGCGGCAUUCUGAUGGCAACAACAACGUUUUAGCGGUGUUCCGACAACGGUAGUUGUGUCCAGCCUUAAGAUGUCUAUGGAGACCAUCAAGAGCUGAAGAAUUUCUUUUCUAGAAAAGAUGUAAGGGGUGUUAAACCUUGGGUUUUGGUUCUGUAAAUUAUCGUAUGAUGAAUAUGAAUGGUUUUUUUUGUGAUGAACGUGGUUUUUGUUUUAUGUGCUAUUGGUAAUUAUUUUGUGAGUAUACUUUGAAUUUUUGGGCCAGGUAUAUAAUUCUGUUUUGUAAGGCUUAAUUCAAUUAAAAGAGGAGCAAGGCCAGCUAUGUACUUGUUCUUUGCAUUUCCAAGAAAUUGGUGUUUAGUUGAUANAUGUCUAAGUUAUGGAAUGAUUUUAUUAGAAACUGACGUAGUAAAAUGUUUCAUUAGAAGCUAACCUAGGAAAAUGGUUAUGGUGCAGUAGUGAUAUUUAUGAUUGGUUAAGUUUAUGUCAAGAUUUGGAAGUUAAGACAUGCAAGAUUUCGGAUGAGUGUUUUGUGUUUUUUUUUGUCAAGCUUAUCUACAAUUCACGUGUCUAUGUAAAGUGGUGAACAUACUUACAUAUUUUAUAUAAAUUCUUUAAUGUGUAUGUCAUGAUAUUUUGCUGCAUGUGUAUUGAUGACUCUAGGCCAUGCUAGAAUCAUAACUUGUGAAUUAGAUUCCUUUAAAUUCUAUAUCCUAGAGAUAAUUCCCUUACACUAAUUCCUUUUUAGGUGCUCAAUUUCACUUCUUCAUGCUUUGUAAUUUUUAGUUGAAAUGUUCUUCUGCAAGGGUAGAUAAAAUCUACUUUUCAUUUGAUUGAAACAGAGCAAUAUAUUUGCUCUCCUAUUCCUUGCCUCUAACAAAAACCAAGAUAUUAACGCAACUUNUUUUUAUUUCAUCAAUCUUAACCUUACAUCUGCAUGAAGAUAGAAUAGCCUAUAACCUCAUUAUGGUUCUUAGAUUAUAGGUUUUAUAAAUUUAUUAUGCUUUAACAUUUAUUCUCCCCCGAUAUAAUUUAUUUCAUAUUUAAGAUAAUUAUCACCAAAAAUGGAUCUAUAAAUCAAUUCCAGUUUAACUAAGUGGAUUUUUUUAUGCCAAAUGUUUUAACUAAGUUAUUUGUUUUGCUUUAACAAAGUGUUUUAUUUUAUGCCAAAUGUUUUAAGAGUUGGAUUAAGCUUGGUUAUGUUGCAGGUUCAACUUUGAAAAGAGUUGUUAGUAGUUUUCAUUUUUUUGAAACAAAACAAUAUAUUUGCUCUCCUAUUCCUUGCCUCUAUCAAAAACCAAUAUAUCAACGAAAUUUGUUGUUACCUCAUCAUUCCUUACCUUUUAUCUACAUGAAGAUAGAAUAACUUAUUUUUAAUUUUUGCUCUCCUAUUCCUUGCCUCUAACAAUUUUCAUUUCUUUUAAUUUUUCUUUCUUUUAUUUCAUGGCAAUAGGCAGAGUAGUUCAUGGGAAUGUAGAUACUAUAUUAUGUAUUUGAUCAAAGCUAUCAUGCAUGCAGAAAUUUAUGAUAACUAGACAACGGUAAAUACUUAUAACUAAUGCAUGAAUUAUACAUUUUUAAAUACAUCACUACAUAAUACAUUGUUUGUUUUAGGUGUUUAAUGAUCCAUCACCAAUAUCAAAGGAGGUCAUCACCAGAAUAACAUACCAAUGGACAAGUUAUCUCCUCCAAAAUGGAAAUUAGGUUUUGAUUAGGUGUUGUUCAUUUUUUGUUUAGAUUAUGUUUAAACUUAAAGUUAAAGUUAGACUUUUGUUUACACUACACAUUUUAGGUCAAACAUUUUAUUAUUUAUUUCAAUUUGGAACUUUUAUUAUGUACUUCAAUGGAACAAUUUAAAAUAUAUAUUAUAUGUUCUGGAAAAUUUGUUGUAUUUCAAGUUUUUGUUUCGUGAUUAAAUAAAUAAACAAAAAAAAAUUAAAUUUUUAUGGUCACAACAUAUUUAUAUUUGCUAAUAUUUUUUUAAAAUGUACGAAUAUCUAAGCCUGUUAGUGAGCAACAGACUUAAAAUUUAAGUCUGUUGGUCAAUAGCAGACUUAAAAUUUAAGUCUGUUGGUCAACGACAGACUUAAAAUUUAANCAGACUUAAAAUUUAAGUCUGUUGGUCAACGACAGACUUAAAAUUUAAAUCUGUUGGUCAACGACAGACUUAAAAUUUAAGUCUGUUGGUCAACAACAGACUUAAAAUUUACGUCUGCCGAAUCUAAGUCUGUCGUAAAACAGACUUAAAAUGCCUGAAAUAACAGACUUAAAAGCCUCGUUUUGUAAUAGACAUAGUAAACUAGUAAUUAGGAGUAGACUUUAUAUACCAAGAUAAUGGAAAUAGGAAAAUUUAGAAAGUGACAUUAACAUUGAUAAAGAAGUCGAAUUUAGUAAGAAUAGUAGAUAUAUGACAGUGGAUUAGGAUGAAAACGUAAACCCCAACAACAUAAUUCAUCCAUAUAAAUUAACUAUCAACUCAUCAAACUUUGCAUACAUGUUUAUUUUCUGUCUUGCAUUUAAAAACCCUAAUCUUCGUUCUAACUAGUGUUAAGAAAUCAAGAAUUCACACGAACAUUGAGGUCCAAGAGUCCUUUGGGAAACAAUACUCGGACUUACCGUUUUAUUAUUUCUUGAUACGAUUUGGUACACUUGCUAGAGUGUUAACAAUUUACCAAUAAAUUUUAAAAAGAUUUAAGUUACCGAUGGAUUUUACCGCAACAUGAUCCAAUAGCAGAAACUUUGGUGCCCAUUUUAUUGAAGGAAUUUACUAAUGAAAAUAUGAGUUAAUGAUAACAUUACAAGUUACAAAUGGAUUUUACCAAUGAAAAUAUCUAGCAAUAAUAAACUAUACAAAUCCAUGACCGAUGGAUAUUUUCAUCAAUACCAAACAAUAUUACUAAUUAAUUUUAGAUACAAAUCUUUGAUGGAUAUUUCCAUCUCAAUUUAGAAUUCUAAAAUUUAAUGGUAAAAUCCAUUGAAUAAGUUUUGUUUUAGCGAUAAAUAAGUUGGUUGAGAAUUGGAAUUAGUUUGUAUUAUCAAACGAUCCAAUAUAAAUAGUGAGAGUAAUUCUUCUUUUCGUUAUCUUUGUCCAUUACAUGUAAUCAUAAAACAAAUUUUAAUCAGUUGAACUAGAAAAUAAUCAAUGAAAGACUGAACAAAGAUUAAACGGUAACCAUAAAAAAACACGCACCUGAGAUGCAAUGCCGCAAGAGAGAAAAAGGAGAGGAGGAAGACGAUGACGCUAUCAGAAACAAUAAUGCAAUGCUGCAAGAGAGAAAAAGGAGAGGUGUCGCAAGAGAAAAAGGAGAGGAGGAAGACGAUGAUAUCAGAAACUGCAAUGUCGCGAAGAUUCUGCAAUUUAUUUAAAAUGAAAUGGCGCGUCAGUUGCUCCAGAAACUGACGUCUAUAGUUACCUAGACGUCGGUUAUCUAAGUAAUUUGACGACCAAGUUUACAUAUAAAAUAACUUUUUGAAUGCCCAUUAGAUGUCGGUUUAAAGGGGAGCCGAUGUCGAGGAAGUUGAACCGAUUGACGUUUCAUUUCCCUUCAGGGAUGUUGACAAUAGUUGUGAAGGGGCACUGACGCCUAUAAUAAUUUAGACGUCGGUGCCCUUCUGUCGGACGUCUAAGGGCCUCCGAGUUUGGUGAACAUAAUUAAUUACAGGCACAUAGACGUCGCUCCCCUUAAACACCGACGUCUAAAUUAUAGAAAUUUUUGUCUUCCCGCCUUCCGGACAGGCCAUAGACGUCGCUUUUUGACUACAUGACGUCUAAGCGCCUGGGAAUGAGGUGAAGAACAUUAAUUGCAACCUAGUAGACGUCGGCCCCCAUUAAAACCAACAUCAAUAGACUGUCUUCUCACCUACCUCAGCCCAUUAGACAUCAGUUUAGGACAGAGCAGACGUCUAAAAUAUCAUAGACAUCGCCUUCCCUUGAAACCGACGUCUAGGUUACCAACUUAUUUACGGUAAUGCCACCAGCCACUCAUAUACGUUGGGCUUCCCUCGAACCGACAUCUUGUGGGUGACGUUAAACAACAUUUUUGCACUAAUGACAUAUGAUUGUACUACUUUUAUGAAAGAAGGAAAGAUUAACAAAGUAAUCUUCAUAAAAUAUUUUUUACAAAAUGUUUGUCAAUCCAAAGCAAUUGUUUAACUACUUUAUAUCAAAGAAUACAUUUCAAAAUUUUUAAAAAACAAUUCAACUUUUCCUUCUUUAAAUUUUGACCUAUUUUUCACAAUUGUUGAAAUCUAAAAUCAUUUGAACCAAAUGAUAUUUUGAAUGGAUCUCAAUUGUUGAAAGCUAAAAUGAUUUUAAUCAGUCGAUAUUUUGAAUGGAUCUCUAGUUCAUAAGUUUAAAAUUAAAGUAUGUAUUGAUUUUGAAAAUAUAAUUUAAGCUAUUCUAGAACAUGAACAUAAAAUGCAAUAGUUUAUAUGUUAUUGGCCAACGGUGGCAUGGUAUGUUUAAUAAAAGGGUAUUUUAGAGAUAAUGAAACUUUUAUUUUUAAGGAAGAUAUAACAUAAUUUUGAUGUCAGGGUAAUAAGAAACCUAUGCAAAUCACAAACAUAUUGAAGUUCAUUAUUUUAUAGGAACAUGUCCUUCAAACUGCCUUAUUUUUUUUUUCAUGAACCUACUAAGAAAAAGCAUAUAGUCACAAUGUAAAAUUUGUGCAAGGGCAAAGGUAACAUGUAAUAACUAGAAGACAUUCAAACCAUCUACAUAUUACCUAUAAUAAACCCAUCCACACAAAUGUCAAUGAAGUUUUCUAAUAGAGAUGUCAAUUUGAUCCAUAGCCUGUGGUCCAACACCAACCCACCCCUAAAUACGGGUUUUCGAUUUAAUGGUCCUAAAAAAGCUUUACACUCCAAAUUCUCUCUUGAAAUGCAUAGAAUACAAGACCAUUAGCUUGAGCUAAAGACUGUGCCAAGUCGUCCUAAACUAAAGACUUAGCCGAGUCAGUUCGGAUCGAAGGUAAAGUUAUGUUGACCUAAGCCAAAGGUCAAAUGUAGUCAAUCCGGGCCAAAUAUCAACAUGACUCAGCCAAAAUCAAAACUCAAGACAAGUCAAUAUGAGAUUAGGUCUAGCUGAGAUGGAUAAUGUUGAGUGUUAGGCCAAGUCAAUCUUCUCAAAGGUCAAAAUGAGUCAAUCUAGACUGAAGAUCAUGUUGAGAUAGUCCAAGUUGAAGGUUAUCUGAGUUGGAUCAGGUCGAAAGUUGCGAUAAGUCAGCCUUAUCACUAGUGUAGCGAGGGGAUUUUACCGCGGUUAUUUUUCACCAUACGUCGCGGUUUACGAACCGCGGGAUAUUUAGCCGCGGUAGUAAGUCAAAGACUUUAGGCCGCAGUUAUAACCACGGUAAAAAGGUUGGGAAAUAUACCGCAGUUGUAUAAGGAACCGCUGCCUAAACCCCUUUUUUUUUAAAAAAAAAAAAAAUUGUUCCAGUAUAUGUCGCGGUUAGAAUCGUGGUAAAAGACCCAGGAAUAUGCCGUAGUUCUUGCACUAACCGCGGCCAAAGGUCUGUUUUUUCAAAAAAAAUAAAAAAACGAACACUAUAUGUCGCGGUUGUGGUAUCCACUACCACAAAAACAGACCUGCUUAUCAAAUACACAUUCAAAUUCAUUUUCAACAGAAUAAACACAUGUUGAAAUGUCUUUUAACAUCAAAUAAAGUACAAAGUGAUGGAAGAUGCCUUGAGGAGAUCACCUUUUGGAGCAGUGCGAACGCUAAUCGAAGUCCUCGAAGCUUCUCCAGAGAUAAAUGACGCAGCGGAAAACUCGAAUACUCUUUUGACCGAGAGAAAUUGGAAGAGAACAGAUCAAAUUUGAGAAAGGAACUCAGAGAAACAAAACCUAGACCGGCAAAACCCUAGAAGAAGGGGAAAACUCAAUCUGGACCGAUUAAUCGGAGGNNNNNNNNNNNNNNNNNNNNNNNNNNNNNNNNNNNNNNNNNNNNNNNNNNNNNNNNNNNNNNNNNNNNNNNNNNNNNNNNNNNNNNNNNNNNNNNNNNNNNNNNNNNNNNNNNNNNNNNNNNNNNNNNNNNNNNNNNNNNNNNNNNNNNNNNNNNNNNNNNNNNNNNNNNNNNNNNNNNNNNNNNNNNNNNNNNNNNNNNNNNNNNNNNNNNNNNNNNNNNNNNNNNNNNNNNNNNNNNNNNNNNNNNNNNNNNNNNNNNNNNNNNNNNNNNNNNNNNNNNNNNNNNNNNNNNNNNNNNNNNNNNNNNNNNNNNNNNNNNNNNNNNNNNNNNNNNNNNNNNNNNNNNNNNNNNNNNNNNNNNNNNNNNNNNNNNNNNNNNNNNNNNNNNNNNNNNNNNNNNNNNNNNNNNNNNNNNNNNNNNNNNNNNNNNNNNNNNNNNGGACUCUCUAGCCUAUGACUUUCAAGAGAGAAUAGUUUCUGAAUUUAGAAAAUUCUAUUCUCAUUAAUCUCAAAAGUAAGGAAUACAAU
rnacentral:lncRNA from 1 species